rnacentral:lncRNA from 1 species
AGAUUGGUCGUUAACGGUAACGGUUGCUUGAAAGCGAGGGUUGUGGUCAAGGCCUUGUUUGGCUGUUGUGUAUACUGGCAAGUUCCACACUCUCUGGUGGCAUAGCUCCUGCAGCUUCGUUUUGUACAUCUUUUUUGCUUACAAUAUUUUCACUGAUUUUAAUUUUUUUUUUGGAAUGGGAAACUCAAGAGAAGAGAGAAAUGGAAUUUAGUUGCAAAAUUUGAAGUUUAAUUAUCAAAUAUUACGCCAAGAGAGUACGCUUCAGUUCCACGAACAGGUUCAGAAUAAAUGACGCUUGGGAAUGCUGAAAUGGAAUAAGGCCUUUUUAUAAACAAAUAAUAAUAGUAAACCGACGCCACGGUGUUUUAAAAAUAAGUUUUUUUUUUUUUAACCUUGAAAUUCCUUAUCACAGUGACGUUUUAAAAUAAUAUUUUUUUAAAAUGCAAAAAAAAAAUUUCUUUCUACCAUUUAUAAAAAAGAAAACUUAAAUAAUUUACUGUAUUAAACGUUAAAAUAAACUAAUAAAAAAUUAUCGAUAUUCUAAAAACCAAAUAAAUAAUACCUUUCCUUUAUCUUCUUCUCAAGGAAGGUGGCUAAAAACUUUCUUCUCCAAAGAGAUCUUGUUCUAUAAGGAGACAUGACAUGAAAGUUGAAGGAGAGGGUGAUCGAAGGGGGGAAUAAAAAAUCUUUUAUGGUUGGCUCGUGGACAUGGACUUCUUAUGAAAGGUGGUAACGCUGUCUCAACGUCAUAAUUAUACCGAAGCUAAGUCCAUUUCAAUCAAUAUAAAAUAUGAAUGCGGUAACGACUAACGAGAAGUUAAUAGUUUUGGAUCAAACGAAUAUACAACGUCGUUCGUGUGUUUAUCAAAUAAGAAUUCAAUUUAAACAAUGUAAAUGUGUUAACAAGAAAUUGAGAGUUAUUGAUAAGACGAGCAUAAAAUUAAAACGUCAUUCAUAUGUUCAUCAAACAAGAGUCCAUUUAUGUAUAUGUAUUAACAAGGAGUAGGGAGUUUUAGGUAAGACAAGCAUGUUGAGUUGUAAUCGGAAUAGACAGAAAUCAGAAUAGGAAAUGGAGAUCAGAAUAAAUUAUUUAUUUGAACUGUAGGAAUCGAAAUCGGAAUGAAUUGAAUUGUCAUAAAUGUGUUUACUUUGUCUUGGAAUCGGAAUCGAAAUGAAUUAAAUUAUAACAAAUUAUUAAAAAGUACUUAAUAAAUUAUUGUUAUAAUUAUUAUUUUAUAUUUUAAUUAUAGUGAUUAUUUAUUCAAAAAUUAUUAUUAUUAAUUAUUGUCAAUAAUAUAUUGAUAUAUUAAUUAAUUAUAAUUAUUAUUAUAAAUAUAUUAAUUACUAAUAUUAAUAUAUUUAUCUGCUGUACCGUACAUCCNNNNNNNNNNNNNNNNNNNNNNNNNNNNNNNNNNNNNNNNNNNNNNNNNNNNNNNNNNNNNNNNNNNNNNNNNNNNNNNNNNNNNNNNNNNNNNNNNNNNNNNNNNNNNNNNNNNNNNNNNNNNNNNNNNNNNNNNNNNNNNNNNNNNNNNNNNNNNNNNNNNNNNNNNNNNNNNNNNNNNNNNNNNNNNNNNNNNNNNNNNNNNNNNNNNNNNNNNNNNNNNNNNNNNNNNNNNNNNNNNNNNCAUCUGCUGUACGGCCAAGGCGGAUGUACGGUACAGCAGAUUUGACUUUUUAUUUUUUAUAUUUAUAUCUUUUAUUUAAAGAAGGGGCAUUUUAAGAAAUUUUGAAUGUCAACGGAAGCAAAAGAACUCUAGGUAAUGGGAGAUUGAUUCUCACCUCUCCCAAGGAAUCAAUCUCUCAUUCCUCAUUCUCAAAUAGUGGUGGGUUCCAUGAUUUCAAUUCUGAUUCUUACUCCAUUUUUUGGAAGUAAAUGCCGUUAAUCAUUUUGAUUCUCCAAUUUGGAAAAUAAAUGUACCAUAAUAUUUAAUCAAUUAUUAUGAUUAUUGGAUUUUUCAGAUACUUUUAUCUAUUUUGGUUGGAGGGACGAAGUUCACUUUCUAUUAAAAGAAACAUUAGAGGAGCUUUCAAAGUCUAGGCUAAGGUUGUUUCCCAUGGCCUUGAAGCAAUACCCAAAAAGAGCUUUCCGGCUGGCAAAAUAGGCUUGUGUUUCUGCGUCGCAAAAUGAUGUGAAUGAGCUUUCGGAGUGUUUCCUCUGAAAUUUUAGAUGCUGCAAAAUCAACAUUGUCCCGCUCGAAGUAACCCGGACAAUUUCAUUUCCUAAUUUCUUCUUAUUUAUUAUGGCAUUGAUUUUCAUUGCAAGCUCAUUGCUCUGCUAAGAAAAAGAAUAAAUGGGGGCCAAAAAAGGAAGAAAGAAAUAGAGGCAAAGGCAACAACAUUAAUGCACAAACCAGUAAAGGUAUUCCAUCGAUUUACGGCCACUGAUAGCAAGCCGGGGCCUUUAAAAACGGAAAAUACAAGCAAAGAAAAAUAGAAGCCAAUUGCUCAAUAGUGCAUAAUAUGCAUACGGAAAAUUUUCAUCACAUCACGACCCACAGUUAUUCGAAUAGGUAAUAAGACAGGAAUUUUCUUUCUUUGUUUAAAGUGAAAAAAAAAAAAAUCAAUGGCUCAGGAAGUAUCCCUCCAAUCUCCAGAACCACUCACUUGGCACUGGCAAGCUGGGUGCGGAGUAGCUUGGCAGCAGCGACCAUGUUUGAGAGGGCUGGCUUCACCUCAGUGUACUUGCGAGUCUUAAGACCACAGUCAGGGUUAACCCACAAAAUGUUGGUUUCUAGCACAGCAAGCAUCUUGUUGAUUCUGUCAGCAAUUUCUUCAGUUGAUGGUAUUCUUGGAGAGUGGAUGUCAUACACACCAGGGCCAAUUCCAGCACCAUACUUGACUCCCUCACGGAAGACAGACAGGAGCUUCUCAUCAGAACGAGAGUUCUCAAUGGUGAUCACAUCAGCAUCCAUGUCGAUAAUUGAGUGGAUAAUGUCGUUGAAGUUGGAGUAGCACAUGUGGGUGUGGAUCUGUCAAUCAAUAUACAAUAAGAUGAGACACAACAUCAACAGCUAAAUUAGAGAGAUGAGAUUGGAGAUUGAAAGGGCAACUGACCUGGGUAGUGUCCUGGACGCCACAGUUGGUGAUUCUGAAGGAGUGGACUGCCCAGUCCAAGUAGAAAGCAUGCUCAGAUUUCCUAAGAGGCAAUCCUUCCCUCAAGGCAGCCUCAUCAAUUUGAAUAACGUUAAUGCCUGCCUUCUCAAGAUCCUCGACUUCGUCCUUGAUGGCCAAAGCAAUCUGGUAGCAGGUUUCAUGUCUGCAAAAUUGGCAGCGAUUUAUGUUAAACAAUGUUUCCAUUUCAAAAGGUUAACCAAUAGUGAACCAGUUCUCAUUUAUAUACCUGGGCUGGUCAUUUCUAACAAAGGACCAGUUGAGAAUGGUGACAGGGCCAGUAAGCAUUCCUUUCAUUGGGCGAGCUGUCAUGCUCUGAGCCAAGGAGGACCAGAAGACGGUCAUAGCCUUGGGACGGCUCACAUCACCAUAGAUGAUGGGUGGCUUCACACAGCGAGAUCCAUAGGAUUGCACCCACCCAUUGGCAGUGAAGGCGAAACCUGAUAAUUGCUCUCCAAAGUACUCAACCAUGUCGUUCCUCUACAAAAACAAAUGUCCCAAUUCAAUAUGAGAUACAGCAUACUUCGUAUGCAAUUAGAAAUGCAGAAACAAAAAUGUAUAAAAUUUUAUCUAAUUCAAAACCAGGAGACAUUGCUUUGCUUCCAUUGGGCAUUGUGAAACUCACCUCAGGCUCUCCAUGGACAAGGACAUCAAUAUCAAGCUCUUCUUGGAGUUUGACAACCUUGUUGAUUUCCUCCUUGAUGGAAGCAACAUAUUCUUCCUCAGAAAUCCUAAAAAGGACAAAUAGUCACGGCACAGUUAAUACAGUAGUCGAAGUAAUUUCACACAUGGCAUUGAAUGAAGGAAAACCUCAGAUUGACUCACUUCUUAGCCUUGUAUUCACGGCGGACUCUCCUAAGUUCAAUGGUUUGUGGGAAGGAUCCAAUUGUGGUGGUUGGGAGGAUUGGAAGAUUGAGCUUCUUCUGUUGAGCAUCCAAUCUAGCACUAACGUUUGUAGCACGUCUGUGGUCUGAUCCCUUCAAAGCAGCAGCCUAAUUUACCAAGAGGAAGGAAUCACCGUUAGCAAAAAAAGGAAACUCUAAGGGGCAGCCACAUCAUAAAAAUGGAAAACAAAUCAAUCAUGCCACUUACAGCCUUUUGAACUCUCUCAUUGGUCACUCUCGGGGAGGACUUUCUUGAAGCCUGAGCUGCAGCAUUGGCAGAGAAGAAUCCCUGGAAACAAAUGAAAAGGAGAAACAAAGUUAGUCUCAUUCAUAUCAUUUCAAAAGGAAUAUACAUAUGCAAUUAGUGGGCUGAUUGUGAGAGAAAAUGUCCACAAAACUUUAACCAAACACCAAAUGCCCAAGUUGCCAAAUGAUGUUUAAUUCGGAAAAAUAUAUUUAGAAACAUUCAAAUAAAUAAUUUCCCCUUCUAAAUUUUCAUUUUCAACAACAUAUUUUACAAGCCAAGCUCAACUUCAGGCCAAGAUUUUCUGCUCCUAUAAUUAUAUUUUACCAUAAAACUAGGUCCUUGAAAGGCUAAGAUUUUCUGACUCUUGUGACUAGUCAAAGCCUAAGAUUCUUUCAAUUCAUCCGUAGCUAACAUUUUAGACUAAAAGUAUACCUCAUCCUUUUGGCCAGCCAAAGCCUUGGCCAAUGCAUUCACUUCAACAACUUUCUGGGCAGCAAAUGCCAGCCAUGACUUGAUUUCAUCGUCGAGUUUGUUCUCAUUAACAAGAUCAACAGCAGUGUGAAGAAGUGAGCAGGAGGUGGAGACCACAAGCUUGUCUGCAAAGAAAAAUAAUAAAUUAUACAACAAAUCCCAUAAAAGAAUAAGAAAUAUUUAUCACAAAGAAAAAUGCAGGCAAAGGAUGUAUACCUUUGCCAACAACACCCUCAAGCCCCCGGAGAACACUAAGAGAAGCAGCAAGAUCAUUGGCCCAAAUGUUCCUUCCAUCAACCACUCCAGCAAAGAGGUACUUGCCAGCAGGGAAUCCACUCUUGAUCAAUUCAAGGGUCUUCGUUCCACGAACCAAAUCAAAUCCAUAAGCGGUGACACCCUUCAAAGAAGUGAGGGUCUGGAAUGCCUCAGCUGGAACAUCAGCAAAGUAGGUCUCAACAAGAACAUUCAAGCCAGACAGAGUUGACUCUAGCUCGGCAUAAGCCUCACUGAAUGCAUGCAAUUUGUGUGAGUCAAGAUCCAUAACAAGCAAUGGCUCAUCAAACUGAAUCCAGGAAGCACCAGCAGCCUUAAGCUCAGAAAUAACUUCCCUGCAGAAGUGUUAAUUGGUACAACACAGAUUAAUGAUGUCACUCGAUAUAUACACACAGAGUUAUUUAGCACAUACACAUUUAUAAAUCAGUAAUAGGUGAUAAUUUCUUACUUGUAGAUUGGAAGGAUUUUCGGAAGAAGAGAAAGAAGAGAAAAGGUCUUCGCAACACCCUUGGCAGGCUUAGACAGCAACAAGUAUGACACAGGGCCAAUAAGCACUGGGACAGUUUCAACUCCAAGCUGCAGCAUUAGACAAGUGAUCGAUAUUAGCAUCUCACAAACUUGAUCUGAUUGAUAGAAAGUUACAAGCAAGUUCAGAAUUCGUUUAAUGAAAUCUCUAUGAAAAAUCUUCAGGGUCCACAAUGUGUUGAAAGUACCCUUUUCAAGUAAUUUAUCUUAAGACUAUUUUGCAAACAGUAUUGCUUUCCUUACAGAUCAAAUAAAUCAAACAACAUAUGAACACAUUUACUGAACCAAGUCUAAGUUCAAAGCUCUAUAAAUAAAUGUCAAUGAAUCUAUAGUAAAUUCUAUUGCAUCCUAAGCUAAAGAUGAGCAUAUCAUAUAAGAAUUUCAAGGUGAACGUAACCCAAUUUCAAUAUAUUGUAGAUUCAGAUAUCAAACGAAAUAAAAUUUGUAAAUAUAGACAGAACUGAGAAUAAACACUCACCCCCUUAGCCUCCUUGUACUCAGUCACAGCCUUGUGGGAAGCGUAGGAGAACUUAACAUCGGGUCCCAAUUCAGGAACAAUGAAAUGACUGCAUCAACACGAAGCCAAACACGCGUCAGCAUUCAGUACAAAACCAUUACACCAUAAAUAACUUGAAAUGCCGCUCUUCCAAGUAGUGAAUACUUACUAGUUGGUGUCGAACCACUUGGUCAUUUCCAUAGCGGGAACAGAGGCGUUUCCUCUGGCCAUGGAGAAGUAAACAUCAAAUCCAAUCUCGCCGCCGUUCCAGUUAUACCUCGGGGGCACGGCACCGAGCAUUGCGGUGGUGUCGAGCACUUGGUCGUAGUAGGAGAAAGUGUUGCUGGGAAUGUAUUUGAUCCCGGCCUGGGACAUCUGUUUCCAGAUGGAGGAUCUGAGAUCAGCGGACACCUUUUGCAAAUCCUCAGCGCUGCUCUUGCCAUCCCAGAAGGAUUCCAACGCGAACUUGAGCUCCCUCUUGGGGCCCAUGCGUGGGUAUCCAACGAUGUGAGAUGCCAUUUUACUGUCAUAAUCACGUCAUCAAUGAAUCGAAAAUCAGUCACUUUCAUUAAAUCAAGAAAAUAUUCAUUCAAAUGGAUGGGUCAUUGCUAUUACUGCUCAAAUCAAAUGAAAUCAAGAACACUUAUCAGAGCAUAAAAUCUUAAAUUAAUUUUUUUAUAAAAAAAUAAAAAACCAGUUGAAACAAGCUGAUAAUAAUCCAAGAGUUUGAGAUGAUUUUUUUCUUUCUGUAAUCACAUGAACAAUUAUGUACUUUCAGUCAUUUUUGAAGGAUUAAAACAAAAAAUUCUACAAAUAGAUUCUGAAAAGAAGAAUCUAAAAAUAGAUUCAAAAACAGUAACACAAGUAGAGUUCAAAUUGUUUUUCGGAAAAGAUUAAUUACAGAUCUGAUUGAUUCACGUUCAGAUCUAGCAAAAUCACGGCAGCCAAACACUAGAUCUAACACUAACAGUCACUCACCAGUCCAUUAGAAAAUGAAAUCAAGUUCAAAAUUCUUUUAAAGUUAAUUCUUUUUUAGAAAAUGACCAGAUUUUAGUUGAGUAUUAGUGAGUUUUUUACAAAAUAAUUUAUUUUUGUUUUUUAGAUCCAAAAGUUCGGAAAUCAAAACCAUGUUCAAUGCUUAUUCAUGAUUAACGGCGUAAAAACGCUACUGCAGAGAAGACAUAACGAAAAUGGGAACCGUACCAAACAGAGAAAGAAGAGCAGAGAAAUUGAGAGUCGAGAGGAGAGAGAGAAGAGAGCGGCGAGUUUGGGGGAGUGCCCUCUCCGUUAUUUAUAGCCAAAAAUCAAAUCUGGUUUGGUGGUUGCCUUUGGCGUGCCAACCUGUAGAUCUGAGAUUUUUCAUCUUAAUUUCUUUCUCUUAUUUAUUUAUUUAUUUAUUAUGAUUUUCAGUGCAGUUCAUAAAAUAUAGAGCUGACGCGCGCUUUUCUGAUGUGGCGCGUGAAUUGGAAAUGCGGUAGGUCUUUGUGGGCCCCACGGCACGGUCAGGACUGAAGGAAAAAUGUGAGAAGUUAUCAUAAUUUCAACAGUGCCAUAAUUAGCAAUUACACCACCAAAUAUUUCUUGAGUUUUUUUUUUUUGAUUGCUUUAAAUGCAGAGUUGUUAUGAAUUGUGUUAAUUGUAGAGUUGUUAUGAUUAGAUUACAUUAUAAUUCGUCACAAUUAUGAUAGGUAUGUACGUAUAUAAUAAUUUAUGAGUAAUGAUAUAACCACAAACUCUUAUACAAACUUAUUUUGUACAAAUUGAUGUGGCAUGAUAAAAUUAGUUGAAUUAAAUAUUACUUGAUCCACAUGAUUUGUUAUUAUUAUUUUAUAUUUUCAUUCAACCAAUGAAUUAAUGACACGUCAGUUUGUACAAGAUAAGUUUGUACAAGAGUUUAUGGUUGUAUCAUCACUCAUAAUUUAUAUAAGAUCUCGAAUAUUUAAAAAAUUUAUAAAUCAUUAUUUUCAUGUACAUUUACCUGGUAGCAAUGACAAUAACAUAAAAUAAACUCCAAACAAGAAUGGAUUAUAUUAUUUAUGUUAUUUUAUAGCUUUUUAAUUGAUUUUUAAAAGGAUUAAUUGUUAAUCAUUACUCUCCAACCGUAAUCACCAUUAAAUAUUUAUUUAAUUUAAUAGUCGGUAGAUCAUAAAUAAGAUUAGAAUAUUUAAUGGACAAUCUAAUUGCUACUACAAUUGUUAUCAUUUUUUUAAGGUAAGGGAUUAGACAAUACUCAAAUUUAUUUUUUAACCCCUUACUCCCUAAAGAUUCGAAUUUAACUAACUAAUUAAAUAAGACUGCUUAAAAACCACUCAACCACAUCUUUUGGGGACCAAUUAAUAUCGAUGUUUAAACUGAGGUUUAUUAUUAAAUUUUUUAAGUUUCAAGUUUCAACCGCUAACAACAUUAUCAUCGAUUAAUGAUAAAUAUAAUAAUAUUUCAUCAAAAAACCAUUUAACACAUCCAUCCAUAUUAAACAUAAGUAAAAAAUUUAUCAUGCAUUUCAAAUAUAUUUUUCAUCCUAAAAGUUAUGGAGAAAAUCUUGAUAUCAAAACUUACAAUGUAAUUAUGGGAUGUAAUUUUGCAUUUGAGGUCAGCACAACUUAAAAAUUACUAUGAAUGAAAAUUUAUAAUAAGCAGACACCACAAAAAAAAAUUAUUUAUAAGUAUUACAAUCAUGCAGUUUUAUUUAAGUAUUUAACCAAGUCAUUCAAUUUCUAAUUAAGACGGUAUAAAUUAGAUUUGGGCUGCCUAAGACCAAAAGUCAAAAAAAAAAAAAGAAUAUUCCUAAUAAGCAGCCUACCGCGGUCACGCGCCUUAAGAAACGCUUGGACUUAGCACACGAUUUUAAUCCAAAAUGUAUAAAAAAGGAAAAAUUUAUGAGGUGUAUAAUUAUCUUGAGUUGUUAUAUUUUGAAGAAACAAUGAAGAAAGUUGGUGGCCGAAGUUGAUCCGGGGCGAAUGGUGGUGGGCCCACGUUGUUGCAUUAUAAUUGGAGUUAUUGUAAUUUUUCUUAUAAUUAAUAAACUCCAUUUUUCAAAGAAAAUAAAUAAAUAAAUACACUCCCGAUUACGAAAAUAUCAUUUCAUGAGUGUCAAAGUUAGAGCUGGCAAAAUUUGACACGACCCGAUUACCUGACACGAACACGACAUAAAUAAAUAAGUAUGGAUCGUCAAAUUUAACACGAUUAUUAAAUGGGUCGGGUCUGGGUCAACACAAUUUUUUUCCGUGUCGGGUUUGGGUUAAAAUUCUUGACCCAUUUACCCGAUCAAUGACCCGAUUAUAUUUUCUAUUUUAAAAUAAUUUACAUAUUCUUAUAAUUAAAACUCAAAUAUUAGAGAUAUUUUUUUUAUUCUUUAAAAUGGUGAAUAUAAACACAGUGUUUUAUUUAUAAAAUUUUACAUACAUUUAGAGCUUCAAUAGUGUAAAUGUGUAAAAAUUGAUAGACAUGUAUAUUUUAUAAUAUUGAUAUAUAAUAUUAUAUAUAUAUAUAUAUAAUUAAAACCUCAAUAGUGUACAUGUGUAAUAUAUUGGUAGAUAUGUAUAUUUUAUAAUAUCGAUAAAUUAUGUAUGUAUGUAUUUAUGUACAUACGUAUGUAUGUAUUUAUGUAUAUACGUAUGUAUGUAUUUAUGUACAUACGUAUGUAUGAUAGUGUGUAAAUAUUUUAUGUAACUUUUGUUCAAUAUAUAGAUAUUAAACGGGUUAUUGGGUAACCCGAUUGUUUUUCCGUGUCGGGUUUGGGUCUCAAUAUUUUGACACGAUUAUUAAAUGGGUCGGGUUUGGGUCGACCUAAAUUUGACACGACACGACACGAACACGACCCGAUGACCCGUUUUGCCAGCUCUAGUCAAAGUGACCGUCACCUACGCAUCGCGUUUGUUGGGCGGGGUGGGUAAGGUGGGGCGAGGAGUUUGUUUGAUCGUCUGAUUACUUUGAUUUUGAUGAAACGUAUGGACGACGGCGAUGGCUUGCCAGCAAGUGGGUUUAUCAUGAUUUUGAUUGUAUUCGGGGAGAUGCUUAUGUAUAUCCUCAAAACUUCUUGGAAAUGAAAACCGCUGGGGUGGCAAAUCUUGACCAAUAAAGUGUGCGUGAUGUUGCGUUUAUAAAUUUCAAUAAUACUAUUGGCCGAUUGAGAUUAUUUUUAAAAAGUUUAAAAAUAAUUUUUAAAGGUUAAAUGUUAAUUUUAAUAUUGAAUAAAUUUUUAAAAAUUAUUUUUGAUAAAAUCAUUUUAUCCUCCAAUAAAUUUUAAAAAAUAGCGAUACAGUAAUUUUUUAAAAUCUAAUUUUAAUAAUCAAAACUAUUUUUUUAUAUAAUUUUAUAGAUAUCCGCAUAUAUAUAUUAUAAAAAUUCGAAAUCAUUAUUAUUAAUUAGGAAAUAAAAUCAUUAACUUUUAAGAAAUUAUUAUUAUUACCAAUUAUACUGACAUAACAAAAUAAAAAAUUAAUUAAUAUUAUAAAUAUUUAUUUCAGUUAUCAACUAUUAUAUAUACACAAUAAAAAAUAUUUUAUAUACAUAUUUAUAAAUGUAUAAAUAAUUUUUAUUCAAUAUUAUAUCGAAUUAAUCAUUUACAUUCUUGCAACAAGUUAACAAUAAAAUUUACCAAACACAUACGAUUGUUUUUAAAACUCAUAUUAUUUUUUUAAAAAAAAAUUACUAAACCUUUAACUGAUUCUCUUACAACUGAUUAUUUCUACAGUACAAUUAACAACAAUUAUUUUAAAAACUAUAACAUUUUCAAACUAGCCCCAUGACAAUAUUGUUAUUGUUGUUUUUCUUACUCUUAUCAAUAAAACUACGUUGCACAUAAGUGCAUAAAAAUUCACACAAAAUAAACUAUUUAACUUUAGGGUAUUAAUUGAAAAAAAAAAUCAGAUUAAGGUGAAUAAAUAUCAGAAAAUAACAAAUAGAUAAACUCUCACACUCUUUAAAAAAAUUAAUUUUAUAAUUUUAUUUAAAACCAACAGAUAUUACCAAACUUAACGGAUCAAUGUUCCAAUGUUUUCUUUUUAAUUUCAAAACCAACAGAUAUUCUUUGUUCAUUAUAUGACCUCCAAACAAAUAAUUUCAUUAAUAAAAUAAUAAUGAAAAGUAUCGUGGUGAGUACAGAGUAAUUCGGUGGCUAAUAAAAGUCUCUAUUUUUCGUCUCUGUUUUUCAUUUUAACUCUUGGGGUUGGUGCCACUUCGGCCUUGGUCGGAGUGGUGGGCUGCUGCCCUCACAAGUAUUGUGAGGACAGUGGUUCAAGCCCCCACAAAUAUUUUUGUGGGGGCUAACGUACUUAUUUAUUUAAUAUUUCAAAAAUUUCUUCUCCCUCGUGCAAUACGAGUGGAGUAUGGACAUCCCUCCUCUAUAAGGGAUUAUUUGUCUGGGCAUGUACUUCACAGAAUUCAAUGUAAUAAUAUAAGUCUCAAUCAUAUAUUUUUGAUUGUAAAUAUCAAUAUAAUAUAUCUGCUAUAAUAGCAGUUGUAAAUAUCUGUGUAAUGCAAUAAUAUGAUAAUUAAUCAUUAUUCAAAAAAAAAACUCUUGGGGUUGGUAGGCUCGUGAAUGGUCCACGUAACCUCUGGACGUAACACUCAAACAAAGACAGCACAAGGCACAUGAAAAAUGCCUAAAAACCGUAAAACCGUGACGUGUUCAACAUAUUAAUAAAUUUAUACUGUGUUUUCUUUUUUUUUUUAAUACUGUGUUGAUAAAGCACUUACGAUGGAACGACCAAUUCUAUUACUUGCAAAACUAAUUAAUAUUUCACUCUAUCAUCUAACUAAUGGAAGGCCAUCUUAAUUGAGGUUGCAAUAGUUAGAAAGUAGCGGGAAGGGUGGCCAAUGCUCCAUAUUAAUUUGCAUCAAUCCCUUUCUGGUGAAGAAGUACGGGUGAAGUAGAGGUCAAAGUUAGAAGAUGAAGGGUGUGUUUGGGAAUUGAGAGUGAGGUGCUGUAGUUUUUUAGCUGCAGUUGCUGUGAAAUAAAAGUUAUAACUGUGGAAUAGAAGUUGAGAAAAAAAAUUUGUUAAGCUGCCAAAGCCCAGUUACAAAUGUUACCAAACACCUUAGUAGCUAGGCUUUGGCAGCCCAUCUACCCCAUCACACUCCCAAACGGAUUAGAAGGGGACCGGGAUUGCUUUGUCAUAUUUGAAAAUGAUUUUGAAAAAAUAAAAAUUAAGUUCAGAAUUUGGUAAAUUCCUUUAAAAUUUCUUUUAGCAAAAUCACUCUCUCCUUUAGAUUUUGAAAAGUAUGGAAUGAGUAGUUUUUUAAAAUUUAAUUUUGAAAUUCGGAUUCAUAUUUAAUAUAAUACCAUAUAUCAUAACAUGUAUUAUAAAAAUCUAAAAUUAUCCUUAUUCAAUCAAUUAAGAAGUAAAAUCUUACAUUUAAAGAUAUUAUCAUUAUCAAUUAUAUUUAGAUAAUAAAAAAUACAAUUAAUAAAAUAAAAAUAUUUAUUUUAGUUAUCAAUUAUUAUAUAUAUACAUAAAAUGUAAUUAUAUAAACAUAUUUAUAAAUGUAUGUGUAAAUUAAAUUUGUAGAUUUAUGUUUAUAUAGAUCAUUUGCAUUCUUAUCACAUUUUAAAAGUGAGAUUUAUUAAAUAUAUAUAUGAUUAUUUUUAAAAUUUACAGCACUUUUUAAAACAAAAGUAUCAAAAGUUUAAUUGAUUCCUUAUUUUUACUGUACAACUAACAGUAAGAUGUGUUUGGUUCAAGUAUAAAAUGAUGGGAUUGGACAAUUUUAAGAUUAAAUAAUCCUAAUGCAAUGUUUGGUACCAAAAAUAAUUGUGGGAUAAAAAUAGUGGACCCCACCAUUUAAUCCAACACAAUGUCAAAAUUUUAUCACAAAGGGGGGUGUGGGAUAAGCUAAAACUUAAACGUAGGAUAACAAAAAAAAAGCCCAAAAUUUUAUACAACACAGUGAUUUUUUUUUUUUUUUGAGUAUGUCAUCAUCCAAUGAUAGUAUAUAUGCCAGAACACUCUUUUGACGUUAAUGAUAUGUAAUAUUUUCAUAUAUACAGCUAGUGACAUUGUUAUGUAAUUUCUUUUUCAUUUAUAGAUUUAUAUUAUUAUUAUAUUUGUUGAUGAUAUUCUUGUUAUGUUUAUAAUUAUAUUAUUUAGUAAUUUAUAAGUUUAAAAACUAUAACAUGUUAAAUAUAAGAAAAACUUUAAGCGAAGAUUUUGUAUUUUUUAACAAAUUUACCAAUAAUUUUUUAUUUAAGUUAGAUUAUAUUCCAUGUCAUUUUAAAAUAAAUCUAAGAUAAUUUUGAUAAAUUAAUAAAUAAGACAUAUUAUUAGUUACUAACCAAUUUCAUGGCAUACCAAACAUGAGAUAUGAUUAUUUACAGUCUAAUCCAACAUUGCACCAAACGUAAUAGAGUAUUAUAUAUAAUCCAAUGUUAUCAAAUCCAAUCAUAUCUUAUCCAAUCCGAUCCGAUCCAGUCUAAUCCAAUUUGACAUACCAAACAAGCCCUAAUUAUGUUAAAAACUACAUCAUUACCAAACUGACCCUUAAUACAAUCUCAUACAUACAUACAUAUAUAUAUAUAUAUUAAAAAUUAAAAAUUAUCUUUAUUUAGUUAGGAAAUAAAACCAUUAUAUUUAAAUAGAUUAAUAUUAUUACUAAUUAUAUUCAGAUAACAAAAUUAAUAAAAUAAAAAUAUUUGUUUGAUUUAUCAAUUAUUAUACACACAUAUUUAUAAAUGCAUGCGUAAAUAAAAUUUUAUAGAUUUAGGCCAAGGCGGAUGUACGGUACAGCAGUAUCUUUAUUUAGUUAGGAAAUAAAACCAUUAUAUUUAAAUAGAUUAAUAUUAUUACUAAUUAUAUUCAGAUAACAAAAUUAAUAAAAUAAAAAUAUUUGUUUGAUUUAUCAAUUAUUAUACACACAUAUUUAUAAAUGCAUGCGUAAAUAAAAUUUUAUAGAUUUAUGUCUAUUUAAAUCAUUUGCAUUCUUAUAACAUUUUAAAAAAAGAAAAGAAAAGUGAUUUACCAAAUACAUGUAAUUGUUCUUCAAACUUACAACACUUUUAAAAUAGAAUUUAAUAAAUGUUUAAUUAAUUUUUUCACAGCUGAUUAUUUUUAUGGUAUAACUAACAAUAAUCUAUAAACUUAUGGUAAAUAUUUGUGUGAAUGUUGGUCCAUGUAAAGAAGUAAAAACAACGCAUAUAUCAAGCAAUAAGAUAUCAAAACUCUUAGUAAAAUACAUAUACUAAUGAAAGAAUGACAGCAAUGCAAUAAAUAAGAUUAUAAUAUAAAUUAUUAAAAUUGUAUAUUAAAAAUUGAUGUAUGAAAUUCUUUUUAUUUUAGUGAUAGAUAAUGUGAUAUAUUUGAAUAAUUUGAUUAAAUGAAAAGAAAAAUAACAAGUAUGGUUGUGGAGGAAAUAAACCAUUGAACUGUGGAAUGUUAUUAAUUAUUGCUAUUUCAUUAUGUAACGUCCUGAUAAUAAGUACAGUGUUAUAGUAUAUUGAUGGGUGGUGAUAUUGUCACCCCUUAAAUUGUGUAAAGUCAACCUCAUUUACAAAUUUUUUGAUAUAAAUUAAAAAGUACAUUAGUUUUAAUAAAUUAUAUAUUUAUUGAAUAAACUAGAACCGUUAGGGAGCUGUAAUGUUAGCACUGUUUUAACUUAUUAUAAAAAAAAAAGUUAUGAUUUGAUCAUAACUCUAAUUUAGAAAAGAAAAAAGAGUUGAAUUGCUAACAUACUUAAAAAUAAAAUAAAAACAUUAUUAUUAGAUGAAAAAUUGUAAAACUUAAGGGGGCAUUUGCAAGUCCGCCACUACUCAAUAGAGCAUUAUUCAGUACUCGUUAAUAUAUCUCGAACUUUUAGGUUUUUUUAAUAUAUUUUUAAUACAUUUUCUAGAACAUUUAGAUAAAAAGAGUCAGUACUCCAAUUGAGUUGUGAAUAAACAUUUAGAUAAAAAGAGUCAAUACUCCAAUUGAGUUGUGAAUAAACUCAUGUUAAAAAAAAAAAAACUCAUUUUCACACUUGAAACGAUUAGUAAAUGGGUGAUACGAAUUUAACUUGGUCAAUAAUAUAUACCAUCUUAAGUUAACUUCAACUCAUUGAUCUUCUAUAGGGUUGAUCAGCCUGCCACAAGGCCCACAAAUUAUCACCUCUAAUGCUUUUGCAACAGUCGUUAUAAAUGCUGACAAAAUGAAACUUCUAUAUAUUUUGGUUUUUUUUUAUUUCUAUGAAAUAUAAGGCCCUUAUGGCAAAUUUCCAUCCAGCGUGAAAUUUGCUAGUUUGGCCUUGGUACUGUGGCACAUGCGUCAUGCAUGCGUGGCUGAGAUGCUUCUAAAACUAAUAAAUUAUGAAGAAUUCCAAAUUCGUACCAAAAAUAAGAGAAUAGGAGCUUGUCAUAGGUGUCCGCGGAUCGGAUUUUAUGGGUUAAACAUUAAUUCAUAUUUGAUUCGUGAUUUUGUAGAUUAUAAAUUUUUAAUUUAAUUCAAUUUAUGGAUUAGUGAAACUCAAUACAAAUUCAAUCCAUAUAUAUGCAAAUUAGAUGCGGAUUUAACCCAAUGCAUAUUCAAUCCAUCAUUUGGCGGAUUGAUUUGCAAAUUAAAAGUUUUUAAUUUUGUCCAAUCUAAAAAGUAAUUAAAUUAAAAAAAUCUAAUAUAUAAAUAAUUGAUUAAAUAAAAAAAUCUAAUGUAAAAAUAAUUUUACUACCAAUUAAAUUCAAAAUUGAACAAGAUUUAAAUAAAUUUAGAAUAAUACAUUCAAAAUUUUAAAAUAUAACACACCGAAAAAAAAAUUCAUUUAUUUAGAUCAAUACAUGAAAAUUAACUAAAAUUAUGAAUUUAAAUGUUGAAACUUGAAAGCUUGGAUGUAACAGGAAGAAUUUAAGAAACUUGAAGAGCUUGAAAAGAAAGUAAGAAAUUAAGUUUAAUUACCUCAAGUGGUGAAGUGAAACAGUGAUUGGCUUGUGCGUGCGGUGGGAUAGAGAUUUGGUGUUAUAUGUCAAAAUAUUUUGUUUGGCUUGGGGUUUUUGUUUUGCUUUAGAAAUUUUAAUGUUUAGGAAACUAUAUUUGCUUAUUUAAUUAUUUCUUAUUUUAUAUUGUUAUCGAAUAAAAUAUAAUAUUUUGUUAAUUUAGCUAUAAUUUUAUGCUGAAUAUAUUUAUUUAAAACGAUUUUAUUAAAUAAAUGUGCAUAUUUAACGAAGGUCUCUGAAAUUUCAACCUGCCUGCUAAUGAUAGCCAAUACGGCACGACCCACCAAAUGUCGGCCCACGCGGGCUUGUGGGCCAUGACGACUUUUUUUGUAAGGGCCCGGCACGGCCCACGGCACGAGUCCGUGCCCAAAAAAAGCCCACCUACCUUUUUUUUUUUUGUCCACAUGUUCAGCGUGCCUAAAAAAACCCACGUGCCUGACGUGCUUUUUUAAGCCCACCAGCCUAAUAGUAACAACAACAACAACAAUAAUAAUAAUUUCAUAGAAAUAAUUAAUGAAAAAUAAAAUAACAAUUCUAGAAUAACAAUUACAUCUAAUUUUAUUUGAACAACUAAUAUUAUAAUUGCACAUAAACUCUAUUGAAUGAAAAUGUAAUUUUUAAUUUAUUAUAAAAAUAUUUUGUUCAUAAUUUUAUUUUUUUGUGCGUAAAUAUGAAAAAUAUUUCAUUCACAAAUGAAACAUAUCUCCAUUAACUAUUAACUAAGUUAUGAUUUCAUAAAUGAAAUAUUAAUGUCGUAAAAUUUUUUAUUUAUCAUUUAUAAAAUCAUGAUAUUUAUUUAUCCAUUUAAUAAAUUAUAAACAUAAAAAAAUUAGAAUACUUAUUUAAACUAGGACUUAAAUUAAUUUUAAAAAGCCUAUACUAAAAAAAUAUAUUAAAAUUUUUAAUUUCAAGGUAUUUAUAAAAUCAUGAUAUUUUAUAUUUAUUUUUCAUUAAAAAAUUUUAUUUUGAUAUACUUUGGCCCACGUGCUAUUGGUGGCCCACGGGCCGCGUGCUUAGCCCACCAAUAAAGUGUGCUUAUUACAUGCCUUUUCGCGUGCCGUGUUUUGCCCCAUCUCUAAUCAUACCGUGCUUUUAAGGCCUGCGUGCCUAAAAUUCUAGGCCCGCCAGCCGUGCCGUGCCGUGCCGUGCCUCGUGCCGCCUGGCCCAUUGGCCAUCCCUACUGCCCGCCAACCACAUUUGUCCAAGAUCAAUUUGUAGGAAAAAAAUUUGAAAAUCAAUAAUUUAUUUAAUUAAUUGUUAAUGUAGGCAUUUGAAUCCCCACAAAAUCUGGGUGUCAGUUCUAGACUUCUGGUGAUAUAUUUUUCUAAUUAAGGAAUAAAAUAUUUUUGUCAUUUUUUUAAUAUUUUAAUUUACCAGGCAUAUCAACUAAUUAAUUUUUCUACUUAGACUAUUAAUUCAUUACGUGCGCAAUCUGUAGCCCGGCGCUCCAAUCCCAUGCAUGUUACACACAACUCAAUCAUUAUUUAUUUAUUUAUUUAUUUUGACCAACAACUCAAUGUUUUUUAUAGAGCUGUCAAAAUUUGACACGACCCGAUUACCCGACACGAACACGACAUAAAUAAAUGGGUAUGGGUCGUCAAAUUUAACACGAUUAUUAAAUGGGUCGGGUCCGGGUCAACACGAUUUUUUUCCGUGUCGGGUUUUGGGUUAAAAUUCUUGACCCAUUUACCCGAUCAAUGACCCGAUUAUAUUUUCUAUUUUAAAAUAAUUUACAUAUUCUUAUAAUUAAAACUCAAAUAUUAGAGAUGAUUUUCUUUUUUUUUAUUCUUUAAAAGGGUGAUAUAUUUUAUAAUAUCGAUAAAUUAUGUAUGUAUGUAUUUAUGUACAUACGUAUGUAUGAUAGUGUGGAAAUAUUUUAUGUAACUUUUGUUCAAUAUAUAGAUAUUAAACGGGUUAUUGGGUAACCCGAUUAUUUUUCCGUGUCGGGUUUGGGUCUCAAUAUUUUGACACGAUUAUUAAAUGGGUCGGGUUUGGGUCGACCUAAAUUUGACACGACACGAAACUGACACGACAUGAACACGACCCGAUGACCCGUUUUGCCAGCUCUAGUUUUUUAAUAUGAAAAGGUAUUGGUUAGCUUUGUCUUUAGUUUUUUCAACUUAUAAUAAGUUUGUAUUAAGGCUCCCUUUGGUACAGAUUUUCAAGUAAAACUUAUUUAGGGUUAUUUUUAGGGACCUCCCCUGAGGUUUGGUGUAUUAACAAUCUGAUAGAAAGUAUUCACGUAAUUACAAAGACCUCCCCUGACAUUUGUAUUAUGUUAAGUGGACUGUUAUUGACUAUUGAAAAUCCAAAAAUACCCUUCCUGCCAAAAUAUUUCUUUAUUCACUGAUGAACUGAUGGGUAAUUCGUGCCAAAAUCACAAAUUACUUAAGAAGAUGAAAAUAUCCAUUGGAUAAAAAAAAUGAAAUUGCUUAAUAAAAAAAUUGACAUUGCAUAAUAAUAAAAAAAAUUGAAAUAAUGUGCGGCGGCAUAGCUGCAUCUUGCAUGCAUAUUAUUAUUGUGAUUUUUUUAUUACAAACUCCAUCCUGCAUGCUUAUUAUUAUUGUGAUUUUUUUUAUUACAAACUACUUCAUAACUAAUACAUGCCACAAGAGCAGAGCUAUUAAAAGAAAUGAUUUUCAUAUUGUAAACUUGAUAGUACAGGUGUUGGCACCGACCAUAAAACCCUUAUGAUACCAAUCUUUGCUCCAUCCAUAUUUAAAUCCAGAUCAAGUAAAUAUUAAAUUGGAUUUCAGGUCCUGAAAAUCCCACUCUAUAAUUGAUAUCUUCGAGUUUUGUUGGUGCCUCAAACCUGGAUCUAGAGCAUCAUCUCUGUCAUACUCGGAACACCUAAACUAAUGGACUUGCUGCAGCUGCUUAUUCUUCUUCUGAAAUGAUGCACGCAGAUAGAUUACAGACUUUGAAAUAAGAAAUACAAUAAACAACAUGUAAUCGAACUUAAGAUUUCGGCAAACUUGUUUGAAAAUUAGAAUCAAACAAGGAAAAUGGCAAGUCAAUAUUUUUUAAUCUAGAAAAAGGGCAAUUUCAAAGUUUAUCACAUGCCAAAUUCAUAGUCUUGCAUCCACUAUUUUCUAGUUUGAAUAACAAACAAAAGCCUUAGACAAAAACACAGAGAACAUCUCACAUGGGAGCAAAAAUUGUGUGUAGAACAAUAUACUUAAGUUACAUGUGAUUACAAUCACAUUAUUUAGCAAAUACAAAAUUACCUUCUCAAAAAAAAAAAAAAAAAAAAAAACACCACCAAAUUAUUGAAGGUAUUACAACAAUAAGGCAAAAGAACACCAAAGGCAUGCACAAACCGAAACUAACACACAACUCAAUUAGUGUCAUGACCCCAAACUGAACAAUCAUAUAAACCAUUGUGGGCUCUCUAAAAGAUUAUCACAUUAUAAGCAAACAGAAACCUAUAUUUGAUGAACUACAUCUAGUACUUACACAACUCUUAAAUCAUUAGGAAAUUGCUCUUAUCAGUCAUUACCCAAUAGUUUUUUUCAACUCAACACUAACAACCCCAAAGAGAAACAACAUCCAGCACCAUUUUCAUUAAUUAAAACAGACCCAUUGUUAUUUUUAAUCAAUAAAAUAACAACAAUAUCGUGUAAGCCACUGAUUCAAGCAUUCAAGCUGUGUUUUCGAAGACUGACCUCUUCUUGCUAUCUAAUUCCAGUCACGAUAGACGCUAGAUGCCGGCAAUACUCGCUUCUUGGAAGCUCUGGACCACCGCACGACGUCAUCUUGUGCAGUAGAUGAAAAUAAAUCAAUGAUUUCAGAAAUUAUUUGUGAGUUGCAGACGCUUCUUCUCCAUGGAUGAAAAUGAUGGUGGGUUUUGUUCAAGUGUAAGCUGUGUUUACGAGGAGAAGUACACUUUGUGAAAAAAUCAUUUUCUUUCAUCUACUGGAUAAUGACUUUGGACUGGGUAAUGGUGUGUUUAAGUCUCUAUUUCACGGACAUUGAAGCAUAUUUUGCUUGAAUUUUGAUUUUGUUUAAAUUUCAAGUUUACUUUUACUUGUUUACCCUUUUAUACUGACGCUUAUGUAUUUUUAUACUAACGUUAAGGGAGGUCUUUGUAAUUAUAUGAAUACUUUCUAUCAGACUGUUAAUACAACAAACCUCAGGGGAGGUCCCUAAAAAUAACCCAACUUAUUUAAAUAGAACUUUUACAAAAAAAAAUUUAGUUAUUUGGUUGUCAAUAAACUUUUCAAGUAUACUUUGUUUGGUACAGCUUUUCAAGUAAAACUUAUUUAAGUAGAGCUUUUACAAAAAAAAAAAAAUUAGUUGUUUGGUUGUCAAUAAAAAUUUUUAUUAAAAAAAAUAUGAAAUUACUUUAUUAGUCAAGUUUUUUUAAAGUUAUGCUAUGAAAAGAAUAAAAUAAGAUUGUCAAAUAAAUAGAAAAUAUUUUAAAUAUUUUAACAUUUAAAAAAACUUUUUAACCUUUAUUUUCAAAAAUCUAAAAUUUAAACUUUUACUAGUAAAGGCAAAAUAAUUUAUUUAAACUUCAAAAGCUUUAUUAGAAAAAUAAUCAAACAAUAACAAAAAUUAUUAUAAAAGCUUAUCGAAUUAAAUAAGUACUUAUAGUUAUUAAAGAAGUUAUAUCUAACAGACACUAAUGCCGAAAGCCCCUUCUAAUUGUGGGUGUAAAAGUUUGAAUUAUGCAUACGGUUAAGGAGUUAAGGUGUGUUUGGCAACUGCAUUAAGUGGAAAUUUUUAUUUUGUUUCGAAUAAAAAUACAGCAAGCUCGUGUUCGGCUCAAAAUAAUGGAACGUUUAAUUUGCAACCGUCGGCGGACGAAGCACACCGUUCACGGCCCUUCGUAUAAAAUUGCAUAUGUAAACGUAAAUAGGUCCGGAUUCAGAUUCGUUGCUGUAGAGAGUGGCACGCACGAUCGGGCUGCUGUCGGUGGUAGGUUGGCAUUGGAAUUCUCAUCACGCGCUUCCCCAGGCGCCUACUUAUGGCAAAUUGACACGUGACGCGUGUGGAUUGAAUGGACAGAGUCCCGGGCAGUGUGUCCAAAGCUGCCAACCGUGCUCUGAUUUUUGUCAUCCAUAAUGGCUAACGACUAACGAGGGAGAUUUCCGGGCAGAAAGAAAUUGUUGUCGUUUCUGAAGGGGAAAAAAAAGUUAUUUAAUUUGUUGUUGAAGACAAAAUGAAGAUCUAAAUAAAUAAUGGCUAAUUUUGAGUGUAAAGCAACGGUAAAUGCAUUAUUAAAUUAGAUUUAGGGUCUGAUUGAGAUUAUUUUUAGAUUUAAAAUUAAUUUUGAAAAGUUAAAAUUAAUUUUGAUGUUUAUUAAUUUUUAUUAAAAAUUAUUUUUGUCAAAAUCUCUCAUCCUCCAGCAUAUUAUAAAAAAUAAGGAAGAAAUAAUUUUUUAAAAUUUAAUUUUAAGAAUCAGUUUUAUACUUAAUAUAAUCCACAUAUAUCCUCGUAAAUAUUAUAAAAAUUUAAAAUUAUUCUUAUUUAUUUAGGAUAUAAAAUUAUUAAAUUCAAACAUAUUAUUAUUAUUAUUAUUAUUGUUAUUAUUAUUAUUAUUAUUAUAAAUUCACACACGCACACACAUACUUAUAAAUUUAUAAAUAAACUUUAUUUAACAUUUUGUUCACUUAAAUCAUUUAUAUUCUUAUAGCAGUUUAACAUUAUGAUUUACCAAACACAGAUAAUUAUUUUUAAAAUCCAUAAUAUUUUUUAAAAUAAAUUUUAAUAAAUGUUUAACUUAUUAUUCUGACAACUGAUUUUUUUUGUAAGGUAUAACCAUUAAUAAUAAAUAUUUUAAAAGUUACAGUAUCCCCAAAUUGGCCCUUACUAAUACUCUGCGUUGCCAACUAAAUACUAAUUGUAACAUUAAACAUCUGGAAUAUUUUUCUCUAACGAAACAACACAAUUAAUUUCCCUCUAAAAAAGAAAAAGAAAAAGAAAAAAUAAACUACCAACCCCACCCCUUUAGACAGCAGAGUUUUAGCUGAGGCGGCUUGCUUGCAUAAGCAUUAAGGCUGCUCUUCACCAACCAUUGAACAUUCUUUCCAUUUGAUUGUUACACUUUACUUCGCCAUCUCAUGUCCAUGUACAUUGUUUUGAAAUGAAGACUUUGCGUACAACUAAUCUUUUUCAAUUCAUAAUAAAAACUCUUUUAAUUAGUUAAUAGCUAUAGCUUCCAAUUGAGACUAUAUAUAAAAAUCCAUAUUGACUGACCAAACCAAUAAUUUUUAAUUGGCUUGAGCAUUGUCUUACUUACUUCAAAAUCGUCACUCUCUUUGAAAAGAACAUGAGAGAGUUCACCUCCAUCUCAACCCUUAACCCUAUAUCUCAGUCAAGAGAUUAUUCAUGGAAAAUUCAGAAAAAAGAAAUGUUGCAAUAUUUACGAAACUCACGUCACGUGAGGUAAGAUAAAUUAUUCCUUUCUGCUUUAAUUCAUGUACAUAAUCAUGAGAAUAACUUUAAUUAUAGUUUAUUUCUCCGUUUUAAGAUUUUUCCUUUUUUUUUUUUAAUUAAUUAAUUAUAGUUCAUUCAUUAAUCCCAUAAGAAAUUAACACCUUUGCCGGUAAAGUCACACAUACAACAAUAUUUUAGAACAAAAGGGAAGAUCAUGCACGAUCAUGAUGUUUUAUUAUAUCUCUAGCAAUAUAAUUAUCUUAUAAUUAAUUAAAAACAAAACAGGUAAUUAAGCCAAAGUGGAUGGCAUGCAUCAAUCAUCAUGCAGAACACCUCCCCUUGUUUUAAAUAUAAAUAAAAGAAAUUUGUGCCCAGAAGACUUAAUUAAUACUUCUCGUUUCUGAAGUGCUCACAUGAUAUAUAGUCGGACGCAUUAUAUUUAAUUUCAUGAAUUAAUCGUACGGUUGUAUUUUGAGAGAGAGAGAGAGAGAGAGAGUGACUGAGUAAGAUAUGGCUUAAUUUAACCAAAUCUACGUAUAAAAUUUUAAAAUGAAUUUUUGAGUUUUAACUUAGGAAUUGUCUAUGAAUAAAAGUGUUAAUCAAAUAUUUCGUGUAAAAACAGUCAGCUGUAACAUUUUCGGUUGCUUUAACAAAACUGUAUAUUUCUGUAAUUUCCUAUAUGGGCCAAAAGGAACAUUUUUCUCAGAAAUUAAAAACUUAUGGUGAAAAAGAUAAGAAAACCAACAGGUUCAAAGGUGCGAGUAAACUGGGCUCUGGUGCGCCCAACUCCCUCUUUUGAUUUUGAGACUCUAUUGACCAUUGAGUUUGAGGCCCCAACGGCCCAGUUUAAAACUGUUAUGAAAAGAAAAAAAAUAUAACUAUAAAAUUAAAAUUAAUAAUGUUUGAUAAAUAUAAUUUUUAAAUAAUAAUUUGACAAAAAUAAUAUAGGGUCUUGUGUAUAUUUUUAUUUGGCAUUUCAAUUAAUCUGCUUAUAUAUAUAUAUAUAUAAGUUAAUCUAUAUUUCUUGCAAGAAGAUAGUAUUUCUUUAAUUAAAGUCAUAACUAAUAUAUAAAUUAUCAACUAACCAUCAAACAUUUAUCUCAUUUUAUCUCCACCACGAUCAUCACCAUUCAUCCUGUCACGAUCUUUAUGUAACUACAAUUAUUUUUUCUUUAAUAAUGUCAACCCACCAACCCCAUAACAAUAUCUCCAAACAUCUCAUCUCAAAAUUCCUAAUAACAUAAGUGUUUAUGUAUGAAAGAAAAUGUGAAAUAUAUAAUCAAAAAGUAGUUUAAUAAUAUAAUGUUUAAAAAUUAUGGUAAAAAUAAGUGAGAGUUUGGCAUGGCAAGUUAAUAAAAAGAUAAAAGCUCGGACACUUGAUGCAUCAAAGUAGCAAUGUCUGUCCAUCAUUAUCAUCAUGCGGGUUUAGGUGCUUCUCAUGAUAGCAUUAGCUGGUAAGACCAUCAUGCAUCGUACUUUCAUUGUUAUACAUUUUGAAGGUAAGAAUGGUUAUGUUACGUCCCUCCGAUUAGGUGUAUUUUUCUUCUUCUUCUUCUUCUUUUUCUUCUUCUUGUACGUAAUAAUUUCUCUUUCUUCCAUGAAGAUUUCUUUCUCUCUUUCUUUUUUUUUUUUUUAUUAUAAAUAAAAUGAUAAGAACUAAUUUCCUUACUAAUUGGUAGGGUCGUUUAAUGGUUCAGAUCCAUUAGAUUUUGUCAAAUUCAAGUCCAAUCCAUCAUAUAUUCCAUUUUAUAUUCCGGAUCCGAUCACUAAUAGAAAUCCAUUAUAAUUUAAAACAAUAAAACGUCGAAUCCAAUUUAAUUCGAUAUGAUCAAUCCAAUUAAAAUAAAAAUUUACAAAUAAAAAUCAUUAGUUGCUCUCUCCAGUUAUAAUUCUUAACAAUUAAAAAAAAUACAAAAUAUCAACUCCUUUAAUAUUUCAUGAUUCAUGUACUUUAUUAUCAUAUGGUUGGAAAAAAAAGUUGAAAUUUGAAUAUUAAAAGCAAAUGUUGGUUGCGACCUGCUGUUUGUAUUCUAUAUUGUUAUAGUAUAUUUAUAGUUAUUUUUUUAGCAAGUUAAAUAUAAAAGUGACAUAUAGUUUUUUUUUAUAAAAAAAAAUAAAUAAAGAAAAUAAAAAAUUAAUUGGUUGGAUUGGUUUAUAUUGGAUUUGAACAUAUAGAUCCAUAGACCAAUCUAAUAACAUUAUAUUUUUUAUUUUGCAAUCUUAUCCAAUCCAAUCAAAAUGUCAAUAUGACAAAAGUUGGAUUGGUUUUGAUCAGAUCGAUUGGUUUGAUUGGAUUGAAUUGAAUUAGAUCUUGAACAUCCUACCAAUUAGACUUUCCGUGAUUUUUUUUUUUCCAAAUUUAAUAAAGAGACUUCCCAUGAAUGUUAAAUGCAGUUUUAUUGAUGAAUUCUGCAAUUUUAAGAAAUGUUUGAUACACGAAUAAUGCAUCUCAUCAACCAAGUAACUGCGUCCCCUGCAGCAGCCGCGGCUUCAACUGGAAUACUGCAGCCACACCGGUCUUGAGACUCAACAUUCGGCCGAAACUCAAGCAAAAGUUGAACAAUAUCAGGCCUGCUUUGAGCUAUAGCAAUAUGAAGCAAUGUUUGUCCCUGCGCACCAGCAGAAUCAGCUGGGUGGGUUCCAAGCAGGGUCACUCUGUUCAAGAACCUCUCUUAUCUCAUCCAUUUCACCAUCCUUAACUAGCUGAACCACAACAUGGGACCCAACAAACAUGAUCUUGAUUCCUAUUGAUGAACGCUGGCUUCUUCCUUCUUGUGAACCAGUCACCAGGAACCGAAUCAAGCAUCAAUGUUGCAUCUUUAAUUGCAGCUGCAGGAACGACAACGCUAUGCAAGAGGAAGGAAUCAUCACAGUGAGGGAAAGUAUGAAGGAGAACUGAUCCUGGAGGAAGAUGAUACGCAAUCUCUAUGCUUACUGUUCCGAGUGGUUGCAUUGACCUGAAUAGUUCGAUCUAUUUCUCGUGUAUCUACUUGCGCUGCACUUUCACUCGAAGAACCUACAAAAUUAUUCAUAACCCGGCAUAAAAAAGACGUAAAGUUUUCAGCGCGAGCAUGGUAACUUCAAAACCCGUUUCAUACCUAUCAUAUUUCAUUCGUCCCGCACCCUCAUUUAAAAGACUAGAGCUUAUAAAAACUAGAAGUACCUUACCCAGAACAUAAAAGCAGACAAAACCCAGUCGAGUAUAAAUAUAACGUUGAAUAACACCUACCAUUUACCAUUUCAUUCAAGAACACCACACAAUUAACGAAACCAACAUCGGUAUGUUUUCAGCCGUUGUACUUUCAACUUAAUUUUGAAAGCGCGGCAGCUAAAGCCUAAACUGUUGUUUGAUAAAAGUCCACCCACUGACUGCUACCUGGCGGCUACCGAUUCCAUUCAAUAGCAGUCAUAAAAUAAAAAGUACAAAACAAACCUAUGUACAAAAAAGGCAAUGAAGCAGCCAUGGAUUCAGUUAUUUGCAUGUUUGGGAUUGUGGUUGAUUCCAAAUUGAGAAUAUACUGCGAAAUUAUGUUUGAUAAGCAUUUAUCUGAUGAUUGCUACUUUAUUGAGUGCCUGUUUGGUAUGGCUUAUUUAAAAGCCAUAAGUGCUUAUUUAAUCGUAUAAGCACUUUUUUAAAAUUUUUAUGGUGUUUGGUUAUUUUUUUAGUAGAGUUUUUUUAGCUUAAAUAAGCUAAUUUACCUCUACUAGCAAAAGCCCAAAAUUUGAGCUUUUGGGAGUAGAGGUUAAAGAGCUUAUCUAAAAAAUAUAUAAUAAAAAAAAUAUCAUACAGUUUAAUGAUUCAAAAGUGUUUUUUUUAUUGACAACCAAACACCCAAUGACUUUUUGUCCAAAAACUCUAUUGGUAUAAGCUCUACUGCUAUAAGCUCUAUUGUUAUAAGCUCUAUUUAAUAAGCUGUACCAAACGGAGCCUAAAGCAUUCAUUUUUUUUUUUCGCGUUUGGCCUCUUCACUUUUUAAAAAAUUUUAUGGUGUUUGGUUAUUUUUUUAGUAGAGUUUUUUUAGCUUAAAUAAGCUAAUUUACCUCUACUAGCAAAAGCCCAAAAUUUGAGCUUUUGGGAGUAGAGGUUAAAGAGCUUAUCUAAAAAAUAUAUAAUAAAAAAAAUAUCAUACAGUUUAAUGAUUCAAAAGUGUUUUUUUUAUUGACAACCAAACACCCAAUGACUUUUUGUCCAAAAACUCUAUUGGUAUAAGCUCUAUUGUUAUAAGCUCUAUUUAAUAAGCUGUACCAAACGGAGCCUGAGUCUUCAAAGAAAAACUCAAUCAACUAAUGCUCGAUUUUUUUUUUUAAAUGACAAAUCAAAAAGUAUUUUGGAGUAGAUUCUCAAAAGAGUGAUUAUUUGAUAAUCCACCAUAAUCCCACUUAGUUAUCAGAAAUAAAUUAAAAUCCGACGAAUGUUACUUAAGCCAAACAGCAUUAUUUUAUUUUGACCACAAGGACCACAACCCUCAAGCUGUCAAGCAACCGUUACCGUUAACGACCAAUCUUUCACCUCUCCGAAUCUUUGCAAGUCACUAUCAAGCAACCGUUACUAAUAUUUAAUCAAUUAUUAGGAUUAUUGGAUUUCUCAAAUACCUUAUGUACUUUGGUUCACUUUCUACUAAAAUAAAUAUUACAGGAGCUUUCAAAGUCUAGGCUAAGGUUGUUGUAAACAUAGAGAGAUUCAGAGAUAUAACAGCUUGUAAUUACAUACCACAAAGCAUAACUUUGUUCGAAUGAUAAUGAUCAUAAUCCAGAUUAUAGACGUAGAGAGAGGAGAAGUCGUACUUGAGGGGCAAAACGCGGCGUUUUGGCUCGUGGAUGAGGUGCUGCUCCUGAUCGUCGUAGAUUGAAGGGAGGAGAGGUCGGUCGAGGAAGUUUAGGAGACGGUGGAGGCUGAAUUGGUGAAUUUCGAUGAAGACUGACGAAUCCAAUGGGGCUUGAGGGUUUGAUUUGCAAAGAUGAAAGAUAAGAGCAUUGUUUUGGUUUCUGUGCAAAAAAAAAAAAAAAAAACAUGACAAGCGUUGUUUUGGUUUUGGUUCUAAAAAGAUGAAAAUUUGACUGCAAUGGAUCCAUACGCAGUCGGUGUCAAAUAAGAGGAGAAACAAAUAUGUUAAUCACUCGCUCAAUCACUCAUGCGAAGUGCCUUUUUUUUCGUUGCUUUGGCUUCUGAGAAAUAUAUGCAUCAGAUAUUACAACUCUCGAGGAUAAUGCAUUUUGUUCCGGUUUUGACUGAUAUUUAGUGGCAUUUGAUAAACUGAUACCUCAGAACCUGGUAGAGAGUUUAUUAAAUACAAAGAGAACAAAAAUAUAUGACUAUAUAAGCUUUUACACGGUUGAAGAUCCGGUCAAAUUGGCUUUAGUUAGCAAGAUCAUUUAAAACUUUCAAAAAACGAAUGGUAUCAAAAAGCUCUGAGAAAAAGCGGAAAAAAGGCACCACAAAGAUCUUGCAAUUAUUAUCACAGCUUGAUAAGACAUGGAAAUGUAUCUUACAAAUUGGCCUUCCAAGCAUCAAAGAAUUGGGUGGCGACAACUCCCAUUCCUAGCUGCUACCGUGGCCAGUCCCUUCUAACUAAAAUGGGACAGGACCAAAAGCAAGGUCUCUCCCACUCUCCUUAUGUAUAUAAAAUUCCCUACAUUCGAAUAAAACUACAGAAAAAGAUUUGCACAUCAUCUUCUUUCACCUUAUUUUGCAAUCUUCAAGAGUUUGGAAGAUUUCAAAGCACUUGUUAGAAUGUAGCACUCCAUUAAGCAUUCUCACCUUCCCCACACCCCAAUGGACCUCCUUAAUCCUAUCGGCAGACCUACAAAUUCUGCUGCAACUCCAAUCAAAUAAAGCAACACAAUUGUUGCCUGCCUAAGCCUUCCACUCACAGCCUGCAAUGACAAGUUCAUGAUACAAAAUCAGAAACAUUAAUAAACAAAAAGAUAUUACCAUUACUUGCAGAGGGGGAUUUGUUGCAAUUAGUAAAUGCCAUACUUAUCACUUUCAUUGCAGAUAUCAUCAUCAUCAUAAUACUAGCAAUCCAGCACUAAUAGUCAGAAUAAUAAUAAUAGUAGCAUGAAUAAAGAAUUUCUGCAGAGUAAGCUCUAAAGAUGCCGAAAGUGUCAUCUAUUAUGUUAAUAAUAAAAAAGUCUAUCAAGAAUUCAAGGAAAGAAAACUCAUUAACAAAGAACUAAACUUUUUAAUAAUGUUUAAUAAACUACGUACCUAUGAUUUUCUAUUAUUAACAUAAAUGACACUACGUACAACUGAUUUUCGCUUUCUAAUGUUUCAAAUCAUACCGAGAAAUAUAACAAUUACCAAGUCAGUAAGUAGCACAAUUACUUAAUAAGACUUUGACUUGUCUAACCCAAAAUUGUACCCAAUUCUAUACUCUACCAUGAAAAGCUUAUGAAGCCGAACUUACUUUGACCAAACAGUACUAUUAGCUCAGUUAAAGGAAACCACAAUUGAACAAAGUUCAGCUGAAAUAACUGAACUAAAAAAACUUGAUAAAAUUAAAAGUAACUUAUAACAGUUUAGUAAAGAAGCAUACAAAACAUGAAGAUAAAUAAACAUAGGUCUAUUUUCUUGACACUACCAGGUCCUUUCCUUUUUUUUUUUUCAGAUAAGAUCUCGAUACUACCAAGUUUUGGAUUCAAAAUCACCAUAUUACAAUAAUAGUUGUGAUUCAUGGGAUACAAUAUGUAGCAGCUUAUAUGUCGGCAAUUAUAGUCAAAGAUGGUUGUCAAACAUCAUCGCAAAUCAAGAAGCUAAUAAAGACCAUGUCACACUACAUUAACAUAUAUCAGUUCUUUGAUACAAAGAUAUUGAAUGUUAUACAUUUCUAAUCCCAAGUCCUGAAAUACAAAACAAAAGUUCACUUCACACAGUCAUAAAGCUAGACUGCUAGAUAAAUGGACAAUAGGCAUUGGAUAUGGGUCAAUAAACUAUUAAGCUAAUUAAUGCACACGAAGGAAUCCGUUAGAGCUAGUAAAAUAGCCCUUACCAGAGAACUCGCAGAAGCAUUCAAUUUCCUCAAAGGAGAUAACUUACAACAUAAACAUUUUGAUAAGCAGCAACACACAUAAAAUAGCUUCACUCACUAGCAACAGAGCAACUUCUUCAACACAUUAAUAAAUCCAUUUUCAUUUUUAAACAACAAAAUAAUGCCCAGUUUCUCCAGCACAAAUAGGGUAAGCAGUAAUAGAAAAACAUGAUACAUAGGAAUUACCGGCCUCAAGAAAUCUCCAAGCUUUCUGUCCUCUGCUUCAAUUGCUCAAUCAAGAAUGCCCCAGACGUUGCGCUAGCGUGGUGGUGGAGCGUCGCGAAGCGUGUGGCGGCGGUGUCGGCGAAGGCAGGUCAUGAAGAUAGUUGGUGUCGCGCAGCGAAGGCAGUGCAGCUGGUGUCAUGCGGCGAAGGCAAAUCGCGUGGUGGUGGAGUUGGGGUCGCGCGGCAGUGGCGGUGCGGUGCUGAGGCAUAAUAGUGGCGGUGGCGUUGUGCGACAGUGGCAGUGUGGAGGCAGAUUGCGUGGAGCUGGCGGUGUUGAGGCAGAUCGCGUGGAGGCAGAUGCCGCGGUGGUGGAGUUGCUGUCGCGAUCAACGCCUGUGAAAGGGAAUGAAAGUGAAGGAGAUACCUACAAAAGAAAGAACGAGUGAAAUUUUUUUUUUUGUUCAAGGGUUUCAAACCCACAUAAACCCGACUCUCACACGGGUUCAGUAAGUUUAUGCGGGUUUGACUGCAUUACAAAUUGGUAUGACCACAACAACAGUACAAUGAUUGGUAAUUACCAAACAUGCUAUUUAUGUUGGUAUUAAAUUAAUUUAAUACAAUGAGGAGUGGUAAUAUCAUACAAUGAGGACUGUUAAAUAUGGUGUGUUUAAUAUGUUGUAUUGUAUUAUAUUAUUUUAAUACAAAUAUAUUAUAUUAUCUUGUAUUAUAAUAUAAAAUAAUGAAAAAUAUCGAAUUUCAAUAUAUAAAAAAAAAAUAAAUAUAUUUUGUUAUAUUCGAUCUGCUGUACGGCCAAGGCGGAUGUACGGUACAGCAGAUAAGAAUUUAAAUACAUACACUUAUAAUACAACUUAGUUUUUCCACAUUGUCGAGGGAUCAAAACAACCCAUCAUUGGAGUCCAAUAAGUUAUGUGGCGACACAAAAAAGUAAUUCUAUAUUUUUUACGUCAUAAAUAUGUAAAAAAAAUUGUAUUAUAUCUUAUUAUUAUUAGUUUUUUUUCUUCAGUUUUGACAAGUAUAGUUUUCUUGUUGAGUGGCUCAACAAGGCUGGUUACAAUUUCGAAAUAAUGUUCCAUCUGUAUCUGUUUUCCUUUUGUUUUUGAUUUUGUAGUAUAGUUAAUUUGUACGAAUUUGUUGCCUGGUUGGUUUUUAUGCUGAAAAGUCAGUUCAUUGGAAAUGACAGAAAAUUGUUUUUCUUUUUCAUUUUUACAGAAAGAGAUUUGCAACGUUAUAAAAGUAAGAGAUCCUAAGAGAUCCCUGAAUCAUAUUAAAUAUUAAACUUAAGAUACAGUCAAGGCUUUUAUUAUGUUACUAAUCAUGUAACGAAUAUAAUUAUGUAGCAGUCGUUAAAUACAAAUUUAACAGUUAUAAAAAUAACAUGAUUUUAUUAUCUUAUAUUUCUAUAAUCGUUGAAUUUUUAUCUGCUGUACCGUACAUCCGCCUUGGCCGUACAGCAGUAUUGAAUUUUAAAAAUUUAAUAUUAUUUUUUUAAUAUAAAUAUUAAAAAAUAUCAUAAUUCUUCAUAGAAAUCGAAGUUCAUGGCAUUAAAUUUUUAACGCCGCAUACAUAAUAAAAAAUUUGAUUCUCUAGUGCCAAUAUAAUAGAAUACAUAAAAACGAGACUGAGAAACUACGAAUAAAGCUCAUCAUCAAGGACUCCACAACAUUAUAAGAAGUACUAUGUAACAUUUGCCAAAUUACAACACCACAUCAAGACAUAUCACAAUGUAAAAUUUUUCCUAGAGAUUUGGUAAUUGAAAAACACAAUUCAAGUUGAAAACUGAUAGUCGACUUGAAAAGUUUUAACAUAUCCCAUAAAAGAAAUGUGCCAUGCCAAAAAUCCUAACCCUUGGCUCUUUGACGAUAAGAAAAUAUUGAAAAUUCCAAAGUACAGUGCAAUGGGAGAAAGAAUGCCUAUAAAGCUAGUAAAGAUAUUCUUAAACUACUAUUGGGAUGUUGGGCUGGUUGGUAGCAAAACCCAAACCCUGCUGCUGAUUUCCGAUACCACCAUCUUGGAUAAGCCGCUCUCCCUCCUCUUCCUAACUCCUAAGCCCAAUAUCUUUCCAAAACCUUCACAACCCACUCAUAAAUCUCAUUGUUGUCGUGGAUAUGCAAAUUCUCAAUCUUUUCUACUCCAUCACACUCAUCAAUCAUUUGGGUAUAAACAUUAACCCAAUUAUCCAUUCCUAUUUCCUUGUUAACCUCACCCACCUUGAAAAUGUUCUCAAGACCCUAUAGACAAACUGUGACGAUCCUUUGGUCCAGACAAACCAGAAGAUCACAGAGCGGUUUGAUGCAACCUUGGCUCACCAGGAAUCUGCAGGACCAUGGUACCAUAAGUGAUUCUAUCACAUGAACAUCAUUAGAUUAAAAAAAGAAAAAAAAAAGAAACAUCUAUCGUAUGAACAUUGCUGAGUGAAUAAAAGAAACAUACUGAAUAUGUUCAUGAGAUCCUCCAUAUGUGGCAUUUAAGACAGGCCAUGCAGCCUCCUUGAUUUCAAGUUCUGCAUGUUGAAGAAGAGGUGCACAAAAGGAAGGAUAAGGAAGGAUGAUAUUGGCCUCCAUAACAGCCUGUUGAACAAAAAUUCGACAAAUUAUAAUUAUGAGUAUAUUUAAGUAGCAAUUUUGUCAGAAUUAACUAGACUUGACUAUUGAGGAAGUCACAUUCAAAAAUAGAAAAGACGAGCAAGCAAUUGUAUUCAUGCUAUCGGGACCAAAAUACUAUGAUGCAAGCAAGAAAGAAAAACAUACAUACAUAUAAAACACUAUCUUUGAGUUGGGUAUUUUCUUUCAAUUUUGAUAAUGGCAACUUUGGAUUCUUCUGCUGAAUUACCACCACCACCACACCAUUGUAGUUUCACAUACUAAGAAAAGGCAGGUUCAGCUCCCGUGCAUGCCCAUAAGAAUAUGAUGUAUUAAUUAGAAGUAAAAUUAAUCUGUUCAAUUAAGUUCUCUCAUAUAUUUGUGUGCGUGUGUGUGUUAAUUAGUUUGCUUUCAAAUCUUUUCUCCCUUCUUAAUGAUAUAUAUUUUAAGCAUGAUAUCAACCACGAUGAAUUUAUUAGCCGAUUUUUAAUUAUACAUUCAGCAUGAUAUCACAAACCAAGAGCUUAAGUUAGCCUAAUUCUUCAUAAAUCUAAUAAUUGCAAUCAAUAAUAAUGCUGAAAAUACGAGUUUGAAUUAAGCUAGCAACUGGUUCUUAAAUUAUGCAAUAUGUAAUCAUAGGUUUACUUAAAGAUUAAAGCAUUUCUGCAAUCCAUUGUGCAAAAAGAUUAAAAAAAAAAAAAAUAGUUGCCAAAUUUUAUCUAAAUAAAAAUUCCUUUAGUGGUUAGUACUUGUGAAUUAUAGAAAUUAUUAUUAGUACUUGCUCAGCGCUUUUUAGAUUUGUACAGGUAGAUUACGCCAUUUCAAACCCGACCAUCCAUUUAGACAUACAAAUCCCCCCAAUUCCCUGUCCUCCGCCUUUACGCGACUCUCCACUGUAUGUGCCAACUAAUUAAUUUUUUAAUUACUUGUUUAACUAAUUAAUUCAUUUUCUCAAAAGCAAGAUUAAUCUAUUUGUUCAAAUCUGAAGGAGAUUAAGUUAAUUGAUUUUAUUGUAUGUAAAAAUAUACAAAGAACUCAUGAAGCCAACUAGAAAAAAAAAAAAAGACAAAAAAAAAAUCAAACCCAGAAAUAAAAAGACAUGCUUCGACAGAAAAUUAAUGAAAAUUAUACUGAUUGUGGUUCAAUUUGAUCAAACCCAAAUAAUAACCGGUUUGAUUGAUGACUCAGCGGCAAAGUGCAGGCGCAUCAGUGGUUGCACAGAUGAGUGUUCUCGUGCGGCACGACAAAGCAAUUGUCGGCGAUUGUGAUUGGUGAUGACAUCGAGCGAUGGGGGUAAUGGCAUCGGUCGUGACUUUGUGAUGGAGAAACGAAUGUUAGAUUCGUUCGAAGAUUCGUGUUUUGAUUGAAUAACAAAGAGAGAUUUUAUGAGUUUUAAUUAUCUAAUACGAUACCGCAUAAACCCGACUCGUACGUGGGUUUAUUUUAUGCGGGUUUCGGUGUACUAAAGCAGUAAAUUUAUGUGGUGCAAUUCAAACUGAUUUCACCGCCAAAAGAUCGUGUAAAUUUAAUAUUAUACAGGGUUUUAAUACUAUGUAAUCCAAUACACCAAACAUGCCCUUAAAAACGGAUAGCAAUCCGGGGCCUUUAAAAACGGAAAAUACAAGCAGAGAAAAAGAAAAGCCAAUUGUUCAAAAGUGCCUAAUAUGCCCACGGAAAAUUUUCGUCACGACCCACAGUUACUCGAAUAGGUAAUAAGACAGGAAUGCCUUUGUUUGUUCGAAUAUAGAAGCACAAUGGCUCAGAAAGGAUCCCUCCAAUCUCCUUGGCACUGUCAGCUGGGUGCGGAGUAGCUUGGUGGCAGCAACCAUGUUUGAGAGGGCUGGCUUCACCUCAGUGUACUUGCGAGUCUUGAGACCACAGUCAGGGUUAACCCACAAAAUGUUGGUUUCUAGCACAGUACGCAUCUCGUAGAUUCUGUCAACAAUUUCUUCGGUUGAUGGUAUUCUUGGAGAGUGGAUGUCAUAGACGCCAGGGCCAAUUGCAGCAUCAUACUGGACUCCCUCACGGAAGACUGACAGGAGAUUCUCAUUAGAACGAGAGUUCUCAAUGGUGAUCACAUCAGCAUCCAUGUCGAUAAUUGAGUGGAUAAUGUCGUUGAAGUUGGAGUAGCACAUGUGGGUGUGGAUCUGUCAAUCAAUAAACAAUAGAAUGAGAUACAAAAUCAACAGCUAAAUUAAAGAGAUGAGAUUGGAGAUUAAAAGGGUAACUGACCUGGGUAGUGUCCUGGAUGCCACAGUUGGUGAUUCUGAAGGAGUGGACUGCCCAGUCCAAGUAGAAAGCAUGCUCAGAUUUCCUGAGAGGCAAUCCUUCCCUCAAGGCAGCCUCAUCAAUUUGAAUAACGUUAAUGCCUGCCUUCUCAAGAUCCUCGACUUCGUCCUUGAUGGCCAAAGCAAUCUGGUAGCAGGUUUCAUGUCUGCAAAAUUGGCAGCGAUUGAUGUUAAACAAUGUUUCCAUUCCAAAAGGUUAACCAAUAGUGAACCAGUUCUCAUUUAUAUACCUGGGCUGGUCAUUUCUGACAAAGGACCAGUUGAGAAUGGUGACAGGGCCAGUAAGCAUUCCCUUCAUUGGGCGAGCAGUCAUGCUCUGAGCCCAGGAGGACCAGAAGACGGUCAUAGCCUUGGGACGGCUCACAUCACCAUAGAUGAUGGGUGGCUUCACACAGCGAGAUCCAUAGGAUUGCACCCACCCAUUGGCAGUGAAGGCGAAACCUGAUAACUGCUCUCCAAAGUACUCAACCAUGUCGUUUCUCUACAAAAACAAAUGUCCGAAUUCAAUUUGAGAUCCAGCAUACUUCGUAUGCAAUUAGAAAUGCAGAAACAAAAAUGUAUAAAAUUUUAUGUAAUUCAAAACCAGGAGACAUUGCUUUGCUUCCAUUGGGCAUUGCGAGACUCACCUCAGGCUCUCCAUGGACAAGGACAUCAAUAUCAAGCUCUUCUUGGAGUUUGACAACCUUGUUGAUUUCCUCCUUGAUGGAAGCAACAUAUUCUUCCUCAGAAAUCCUAAAAAGGACAAAUAGUCACGGCACAGUUAAUACAGUAGUUGCAGUAAUUUCACACAUGGCAUUGAAUGAAGAAACACCUCAGAUUGACUCACUUCUUAGCCUUGUAUUCACGGCGGACUCUCCUAAGUUCAAUGGUUUGUGGGAAGGAUCCAAUUGUGGUGGUUGGGAGGAUUGGAAGAUUGAGCUUCUUCUGUUGAGCAUCUAAUCUAGCACUAACGUUUGUAGCACGUCUGUGGUCUGAUCCCCUCAAAGCAGCAGCCUAAUAGACCAAGAGGAAGGAAUCACUGUUAGCAAAAAAGGAAAUUCUAAGGGACAGCCACAUCAUAAAAAUGGAAAACAAAUCAAUCAUGCCACUUACAGCCUUUUGAACUGCCUCAUUGGUCACUCUCGGGGAGGACUUUCUUGAAGCCUGAGCUGCAGCAUUGGCAGAGAAGAAUCCCUGGAAACAAAUGAUAAGGAGAACCAAAGUUAGUCUCAUUCAUAUCAUUUUAAAAAGAAGAUACAUAUGCAAUUAGUGGGCUGAUUGUGAGAGAAAAAGUCCCCAAAACUUUAAUCAAACACCAAAUGCCCAAGUUGCCAAAUGAUGUUUAAUUCGGAAAAAUAUAUUUAAAAACAUUCAAAUAUAAUUUCCCCUUCUAAAUUUUCAUUUUCAACAACAUAUUUUACAAGCCAAGCUCAACGUCAGGCCAAGAUUUUGUGCUCCUAUAAUUAUAUUUUACCAUAAAACUAGGUCCUUGAAAGGCUAAGAUUUUCUGACUCUUGUGACUAGUCAAAGCCUAAGAUUCUUUCAAUUCAUCCGUAGUAAAAGUAUACCUCAUCCUUUUGGCCAGCCAAAGCCUUGGCCAAUGCAUUGACUUCAACAACUUUCUGGGCAGCAAAUGCCAGCCAUGACUUGAUUUCGUCGUCGAGUUUGUUCUCAUUAACAAGAUCAACAGCAGUGUGAAGAAGUGAGCAGGAGGUGGAGACCACAAGCUUGUCUGCAAAGAAAAGUAAUAAAUUAUACAACAAAUCCCAUAAUAGAAUAAGAAAUAUUUAUCACAAAGAAAAAUGCAAGCAAAGGAUGUAUACCUUUGCCAACAACACCCUCAAGCCCCCGGAGAACACUAAGAGAAGCAGCAAGAUCAUUGGCCCAAAUGUUCCUUCCAUCAACCACUCCAGCAAAGAGGUACUUGCCAGCAGGGAAUCCACUCUUGAUCAAUUCAAGGGUCUUGGUUCCACGAACCAAAUCAAAUCCAUAAGCGGUGACACCCUUCAAAGAAGUGAGGGUCUGGAAUGCCUCAGCUGGAACAUCAGCAAAGUAGGUCUCAACAAGAACAUUCAAGCCAGACAGAGUUGACUCUAGUUCCGCGUAAGCCUCACUGAAUGCUUGCAAUUUGUGUGAGUCAAGAUCCGUAACAAGCAAUGGCUCAUCAAACUGAAUCCAGGAAGCACCAGCAGCCUUAAGCUCAGAAACAACUUCCCUGCAGAAGUGUUAAUUGGUACGACACGGAUUAAUGAUGCCACACGAUACACACACACACACACACACACACACACACACACACACACACACACACACACACACACACACACACACACACACACACACACACACACACACACACACACACACACACACACACACACAGACAGAGUUAUUUAGCACAUACACGUUUAUAAAUCUGUAAAUAGGUGAUAAUUCUUACUUGUAGAUCGGAAGGAUUUUGGGAAGAAGAGAGAGAACAGAAAAGGUCUUCUCAACCCCCCAGGCAGGCUUAGACAGCAACAAGUAUGACACAGGGCCAAUAAGCACUGGGACAGUUUCAACUCCAUGCUGCAGCAUUAGACAAGUGGUAGAUAUUAGCAUCUCACAAACUUGAUCUGACUGAUAGAAAGUUACAAGCAAGUUAAGAAUAUGUUUGAUGAAAUUUCAAUGAAAAAUCUUCAGGGUCCACAACAUGUUGACUAUACCCUUUUUAAGUAAUUUAUCUUAAGACUAUUUUGCAAACAGUAUUGCUUCCCUUUACAGAUCAAAUAAAUCAUACAACAUCUGAACGCAUUUCCUGAGCCAAAUAUAAGUUCAAAGCUCUAUAAUAAAUGUCAAUGACUCUAUAGUAAAUUCCAUCACAUUCUGAGCUAUGGAUGAGCAUAUCAUAUGCCAAUUUCAAGUUGAACGUAACCCAAUUUCAACAUAUUGUAGAUUCAAGUAUCAAACGAAAAAAAAAAUAUUGUAAAUAUAGACAGAACUGAGAACAAACACUCACCCCCUUAGCCUCCUUGUACUCAGUCACAGCCUUGUGGGAAGCGUAGGAGAACUUAACAUCGGGUCCCAAUUCAGGAACAAUGAAAUGACUGCAUCAACACGAAGCCAAACACACGUCAGCAUUCAGUACAAAACCAUUACACCAUAACUAACUUGAAAUGCCGCUCUUCCAAGUAGUGAAUACUUACUAGUUGGUGUCGAACCACUUGGUCAUUUCCAUUGCGAGAACAGAGGCGUUUCCUCUGGCCAUGGAGAAGUAAACAUCGAAUCCAAUCUCGCCGCCGUUCCAGUUAAACCUCGGGGGCACGGCACCGAGCAUUGCGGUGGUGUCGAGCACUUGGUCGUAGUAGGAGAAAGUGUUGCUGGGAAUGUAUUUGAUCCCGGCCUCGGACAUCUGUUUCCAGAUGGAGGAUCUGAGAUCAGCGGACACCUUUUGCAAAUCCUCGGCGCUGCUCUUGCCAUCCCAGAAGGAUUCCAACGCGAACUUGAGCUCCCUCUUGGGGCCCAUGCGUGGGUAACCAACGAUGUGAGAUGCCAUUUUACUGUCAUAAUCACGUCAUCAAUGAAUCGAAAAUCAGUCCCUUCCAUUAAAUCAAGAAAUUAUUAAUUCAAAUGAAUGGAUCACAUUGUAUAUAUAUGGGAUAAAUAUAAUUAUGAACAAAAGCGUCUAAUCAAUCACAAAAAGCAAGCGACUGCAUCAAAUUUAGGGAUCCGACCCGACCCGACCCGAUCUGUAAAUUCCGGUUUCAAUCGGAUUAAGAUGAAACCUCUAACCCGAUAUAGUUGGAUUUUGGCCAACUCGAUCGGAUCAGAUCGGAUCGGAUUAAACUUAGUCCAAUCCGAAAAAUUCAAAAAAUCAAAACUACAAUAAGUAUAAAUCUAAAUUUUCAAUUCAAUUUGAUCUAAUCUGAAUAUAUUCGAAUCGGAUCAAAUACUAUGCUCUGCUUAAACUUGGAUUAUAUUUUUUUCAAUUUGAUUAACCUAAAAUUCGAUUGGAUAGAUCCAAAACUGAAUUUAUCUACCCCUCAGUCAUCAAUCAAUUACAAAACCUAAAAUCCGAUUGGAUAGAUCCGAAACUGAAUUUAUCCACCCUUAAGUCAUCAAUCAAUUACAAAGGCGACUGAUGUUUAUACAAUGGACAAUUAUUAAGUUACAGCUCUUGUAAUUUACAACUUAUACAAAAAUAUGUGAAAAAUUGUGAUAGGCAGUACAGUGUCAUGAUUUUAUACAAAAAUAUGUAAACAAUUGUGAUAGACGGUAGAACCUCAUGAUUUUAUAAAAAAUACGUAAAAAGUUGGGAUAAGUAAUGGAGCCCGCAUAAUUUUUUAUCAGCUGCAAGUUGCAAGUUACAGCAACUGUAACUUAGCGACCCCGACUUCAAUGUAAAAUGAGAAAGUACUCCUCCGCAUAGUACCUGAUGCUCAAAAGUCAAAUCACACGAAAUGCAAAUAGACUUAUCAGAGCAUAAAACCUUAUAUUACUUUUUGAAAAACGAUUUGAAACAAGGGCAAAAUUACAGUGUAACCGUACUUAGUCAUUGAAUUCAGCUCACAAUUAUCAUUAUAGUUAGAUCUAAUAACUAGAUCCAACUGUAUCCACAGUUAUAUUGUAGUUAGAUCUGAUAACUAAAUCCAGAUCCAGCUGUCCCCACAAUUGUCAUUAUAGUUAGAUCUAAUAAUUAGAUUCGGCUGAUUCAGCUGUGAUGUAGUACCCUGUAGUGCCAUAACUGGACAAAGAAACAAACUGAUAUAUUUUCUUUUUUGAAACAAACUGAUACUAAUCCAAGAGUUUCAGAUGAUCGGUUUUUUUUUUUUUUUCUAUAGUCACAUCAAUAAUUAAGUACUUUCAGUCAUUUUCGAAGGAUUAAAACGAAAACUCUAAAAAAAUUCUGAGAAUGAAGAAUCCGAAAAUAGAUUCAGAAAUAGUAACACAAGUAGAGGUCAGAUUGUUUUUUGGAAAAGAUUAAUUGCAGAUCUGAUGAACUCAAGUCUAGAUCUAGCAAAAUCACGGCAGCCAAACACUAGAUCUAAGACUAACAGUCACUCACCAGUCGAUCAGAAAGUGAAAUCAAGUUCAAAAUUCUUUUUUUUUAAUAGAUCCAAAAGCUAAUAUACAUAUAUAUAUGGCAAAAUAUAUAUACCGUACCCGAGAAGGACGAGCAGAGAAAUUAAGCUUUUUUCGAGAGAACGAGAAAGAAGAGAGACGAGACUGUUAGAAAUUGCUGUCAGUUUAAUUUUUAUUUAUAGCCAAAAACCUAACCUUGUUUAGUGGUUACUGGUUACCGUCUUCGGCGGUGUUGAUCUGAGAUUUAUCAUUUUAAUUUCUUUCUCUUACUUAUUUAUUUAAUUUGGGUCCAACUACGGUGAAACUGUAGUACCGUGCUACAGUUAUUUUCAACCGUUUGAUUCACUUGGAUGGUGGGAUCCAAUAAAAUCCAAUAACUGGGUGCAACCGUAGCACGGUGCCGCAGUUGCACCACAGUUUUUCCCAUUUAUUUAUUAUGCUUUCAGUGCAGUUGGCAAAAACAUGGAGCUUACGCGCGCUUUUCUGAUGUGGCGCGUGAAUUGGAAAUGUGGUAGAUCUUUGUGGAUCCGCCGGUGCAGUGAAGAGUGAAGGAAAAAAGAGAAAAGUUAUCAUGCCAGAUCAUUUGAAGAGAGCCGCAAUUAGUAAUUACACCACAAUAUAUUUCUGAUUAUUUGCUUACUUUGAUGAUGUUUUUACUGAUUAGUAAUUGGAAUAUGUUAGAAUCUAAAUAUAGUAGAAUCAUAAUAGAGUUGAAUCAAAAUAGACUAUAAUUAGAAUGGAUAAUGGGAAUUAGAAGAAUUAUUUGCUUUAGUUGUGAGAAUCCAAAUUGGAAUGAACUAUAUUGUCGUUGAUAUGUUUACUUUAUCAUAGAAUAUGAAUGAAUUAUUACAAGUUACUAAACAGACCUUAAGUUGAUUAUUGUCAUUAUUUAUUUAUUUAUUAUUAUUAUUAUUAUUAUCAUCAUCAUCAUCAUCAAAAUUAUUAAUCUUAUUAUUAAUGUUAAUUAUAAUAAUUAAUAAUUAUAAUAGUAUUAUAAUAAUAAUAAUAAUAAAAGCAAUCAUAAAAUGAGAAUUUCAAGAUUUAAGUAGAGAUAAUAUAAUUAUUUUAGAAAAUGAGAAUUUCCAUGAGAAUGUGAACUCUAUUAAUCAUUCCCAAUUUGAAGUGGGGCCUGCCAUUUUGAUUCAAUCUCUCAUUUAAGCAAGUAAAUACGACAUUUAUUCUCAUUCCCUCAUUCCCACUCUCAGGUAGCGUUUGUUUUUUAACUUAAUGACUUAAAGUGACUUAACUUAAUUAAUUAAGUUAAUUAGAGGUGUUUAUUUUUAUAACUUAAUGAGACUUUUUAGAUAAUUUUGACUUAAUAAAAUGAGCCAAUUUUUUUUGGCUUUUUACUUAAUGGAGAAAUUUGAAUUUAGUCAAUUACUUACUAAUGUCAAAAAUAUCUAUGUUUUAUAAUUUAUUUUUCAUGUCUAUCCCAAAACUCACCCAUAGACAUUUACCCCACAUAAAAAUAUCCCUAUUUUUUCUUUCUUAUAUUAUAUACGAUAAAAUUUGAAAUUUAUGGUAUUUUAUAUAUUAAAAUUCUAAAAUAAUUAUGUAUUCACUUGAAUAUAGUUUUACUUAUAACUGUUAAAAUAUUGUGGUAUUUAAUAUAUUAUUUAUUUGACAUUAAAAUUUAAUAAGGAUACAAAUGUAAAAGUACAUAUUUUCAGUUUUUUCAGUUAAAAAAAAAGCAACUUAAUACUUAUUUUUCGAGAUUCAGACGAAAAAAUAAACAUAUUAUUCAUAUUCAGACAUUUAGAUAUAUUCAGAAUUCAAACUAAUUCAGGUCUAUUCAGAUUUUAGACAAAAAAAACAAACGCCACCUCAAUCAAUAAACACACCAUAAAUGUAGAGUUGUUACUAUUAGAAUACAUUAUAAUUCAUCACAAUUAUGAUAGGUAUAUACGUGUGUAAUAAUUUAUAUAAGAUGCUAAAUUUUGAAAAUAAUAAAAAAUCAUUUAUACAUAUUUAAAAAAAUCAUUAAUACAUUAAAAUGUGCAUCACAUAUACAUUUACAUAAUAGCAAUGACCAUAGUAUAAAAAAAACUCCUAAAAGAGAACGACUUCGUUAUUUAUGUUAUUUUAUAUAUUUUUAAUUGAUUAUUAAAAGGAUCAAUUGUUAAUUAUUAUUCUCCAAACAUAAUCACCGUUAAACAUUUAUUCAAUUUAACAAUAGGUAGAUGUUAAAUAAUAUUGGAAUAUUUAAUGAACAAUAUAAUCACUAUUGCAGUUGUUUUUUUUUUUUAGUAAUGGAUUAUUCGAAACUCAAAUUCAUUUUUUAGCCCCCUUACCUCUCUUAAAAUUCAAAUUUAAGUGACUAAACAAAUAAAACUGCUUAAAAUCUAUACGACUACAUCUUUGGGGACCAAUUAAUAUGGAUGUUUAAAUCUUGAUUUAUUAUUAAAUCUUUGAGUUUCAACCACUAAUAACAUCAUCAUCGAUUAAUGACAAAUAAAAUAAUACAUCAUCAAAACCAUUAAACACGUCCAUCAAUAUCAAAAACAAGUAAAAAGUUUAGCAUGUAUUUCAAAUAUACUUUUCAUCCCAAAAGUUGUAGAGAAAGUCUCGAUAUCAAUGUCACUAUGAGACGUAAUUUUAUAUUUAAAGUCAGCGCAACUUAAAAAUUACUAUGAAUGAAUAAUACACCAUAAAAAAAUUAUUUAUAAGUAUUUUCAUCAUGUAUUUUUAUUUAACAAUGGUGACAUUUAUUUUUUAACUUAAUGACUUAAAGUGGCUUAACUUAAUUAAUUAAGUUAAUUUUAGGUGUUUGUUUUUAUAACUUAAUAGGACAUUUUAGAUAAUUUUGACUUAAUAAAAUAGGCCAAUUUUUUUUAACUUUUUACUUAAUAGAGAAAUUUGAAUUAAGUCAGUUACUUUCUAAUGUAAAAAAAUAUUCCUACUUUAUAAUUUAUUUUUCAUGCAUAUUCAAAAACUCACCCAUAGAUAUUUACCCCACAUAAUCUCAUCUUUAUUUUCUUCCAGCCGUCAUGGAAUCCCUCCUCACUUUGCUUCUCUCCUCUAGUUCUUGAAUCUCCCUUUAAUUUCUCGCUAGGCAAAGCACUUGAAUUGGGCUUUUUUUUUUUCCUUUUCAAUUACGUUUUCCAACAUUCACUUAUAUAAUAAUCAACUAGUUGCUACUCUUUUUAGUGAUAAAAUUUGAAAUAUGGUAUUUUAUAUAUUAAAUUUUCAAAAUUAUGUAUUCACUUAAAUGUAGUUUUACUUAUAAAUAUUAAAAUAUUAUGUUAUUUAAUAUAUUAUUUAUUUGACAUUCAAAUUUAAUAAGGAUAUAAAUGUAAAAGUACAUAUUUUUAAUUUUUUAAGUUGAAAAAAUAACUUAAUAUUUAUUUUCAGAUAUUCAAAUAAAAAAUAUAUUAUUUAAAUUCAAAAAUUUAAAUCUAUUCAAAAUUUAAAGUAAUUCAGGUCUAUGCAUAUUUCAAUCAUAAAAACAAAUGCCACAUGAGUCAUUCAAUUUCUAAUUAAGAGGAUAAAAAAUAGAUUUGGACUAUCCUAAGACAAAAACAAAAAAAAAAACAAAAAUAAGAUUUCCUAAUAAGUGUACUAACGUGGUCACGCGCCUUGAGAAACGCUUGGACCUAACACACUAUUUUAAUCCGAUAUGCAAAAAAAGAAAAAAAAAAAAAAGGAAAAAUUAUGAGAUGUAUAAGUUUCUAGAGACGUGUUAAAUUUUGAUGAAACAAUGAAGAAAGUCGGUGGCCGAAGUUGGUAUGGGGCAAUGCGAAUGGUGGUUGGCCCACGUUGCCCUGUAAUUGGAGUUGUUAUAAUUUUUCUUAUAAUUAAUAGGACUUGACACAGACUGCAGCAUCAGCCGUUGGAUGUGGAGGGAGAAACUAAACAAUAGAAAACCGUAUGGUGGGAUGACGGUAGAUGUUUGUUACAGAAACUGUACCAUAGACAGGUCCUAAUUAAUAAGCUCUACGUUUUGAAACAAUAAAUAAACUCCAGAUGACCAAAAUAUCAUUUCAUACUGCUACCUAGACAUCUUGGCGAGGGUGGGUAAUGUGGGGCCCGGAGCUUGUUUGAUCGUCAAUUAUUCUCUGGUUUGGUGAAACGAAUGGACGGACGAUGGUGAUGGCUUUUAGGAGAUUAGUAUUAUUAUUAUUAUUAUUAUUAUUACAUUGAGAUCGUAAAACAAAAAAUUCAAUUAAUAAUAUAAAAUAUUUAUUUAAUUUAUUAAUUAUUAUAUAUACACAAUAAAAAAAUUUAUAUACAUAUUUAUAAAUGUGUAAAUAAAUUUCAUUCAAUAUUAUAUCCAAUUAAUCAUUUAUAUUUUUCUGCUGUACCGUACAUCCGCCUUGGCCGUACAGCAGUAAAGCUGCUGAUGCUUUAUCGCGAAUUCAUGAGGAAAAUGUGAUUGAAGAACCCAAACCAACAACUCUUUGUUUGUCGUUAGACAUUUACCCCACAUAAAAAUAUCCCUAUUUUUUCUUUCUUAUAUUAUAUACGAUAAAAUUUGAAAUUUAUGGUAUUUUAUAUAUUAAAAUUCUAAAAUAAUUAUGUAUUCACUUGAAUAUAGUUUUACUUAUAACUGUUAAAAUAUUGUGGUAUUUAAUAUAUUAUUUAUUUGACAUUAAAAUUUAAUAAGGAUACAAAUGUAAAAGUACAUAUUUUCAGUUUUUUCAGUUAAAAAAAAAGCAACUUAAUACUUAUUUUUCGAGAUUCAGACGAAAAAAUAAACAUAUUAUUCAUAUUCAGACAUUUAGAUAUAUUCAGAAUUCAAACUAAUUCAGGUCUAUUCAGAUUUUAGACAAAAAAAACAAACGCCACCUCAAUCAAUAAACACACCAUAAAUGUAGAGUUGUUACUAUUAGAAUACAUUAUAAUUCAUCACAAUUAUGAUAGGUAUAUACGUGUGUAAUAAUUUAUAUAAGAUGCUAAAUUUUGAAAAUAAUAAAAAAUCAUUUAUACAUAUUUAAAAAAAUCAUUAAUACAUUAAAAUGUGCAUCACAUAUACAUUUACAUAAUAGCAAUGACCAUAGUAUAAAAAAAACUCCUAAAAGAGAACGACUUCGUUAUUUAUGUUAUUUUAUAUAUUUUUAAUUGAUUAUUAAAAGGAUCAAUUGUUAAUUAUUAUUCUCCAAACAUAAUCACCGUUAAACAUUUAUUCAAUUUAACAAUAGGUAGAUGUUAAAUAAUAUUGGAAUAUUUAAUGAACAAUAUAAUCACUAUUGCAGUUGUUUUUUUUUUUUAGUAAUGGAUUAUUCGAAACUCAAAUUCAUUUUUUAGCCCCCUUACCUCUCUUAAAAUUCAAAUUUAAGUGACUAAACAAAUAAAACUGCUUAAAAUCUAUACGACUACAUCUUUGGGGACCAAUUAAUAUGGAUGUUUAAAUCUUGAUUUAUUAUUAAAUCUUUGAGUUUCAACCACUAAUAACAUCAUCAUCGAUUAAUGACAAAUAAAAUAAUACAUCAUCAAAACCAUUAAACACGUCCAUCAAUAUCAAAAACAAGUAAAAAGUUUAGCAUGUAUUUCAAAUAUACUUUUCAUCCCAAAAGUUGUAGAGAAAGUCUCGAUAUCAAUGUCACUAUGAGACGUAAUUUUAUAUUUAAAGUCAGCGCAACUUAAAAAUUACUAUGAAUGAAUAAUACACCAUAAAAAAAUUAUUUAUAAGUAUUUUCAUCAUGUAUUUUUAUUUAACAAUGGUGACAUUUAUUUUUUAACUUAAUGACUUAAAGUGGCUUAACUUAAUUAAUUAAGUUAAUUUUAGGUGUUUGUUUUUAUAACUUAAUAGGACAUUUUAGAUAAUUUUGACUUAAUAAAAUAGGCCAAUUUUUUUUAACUUUUUACUUAAUAGAGAAAUUUGAAUUAAGUCAGUUACUUUCUAAUGUAAAAAAAUAUUCCUACUUUAUAAUUUAUUUUUCAUGCAUAUUCAAAAACUCACCCAUAGAUAUUUACCCCACAUAAUCUCAUCUUUAUUUUCUUCCAGCCGUCAUGGAAUCCCUCCUCACUUUGCUUCUCUCCUCUAGUUCUUGAAUCUCCCUUUAAUUUCUCGCUAGGCAAAGCACUUGAAUUGGGCUUUUUUUUUUUUCCUUUUCAAUUACGUUUUCCAACAUUCACUUAUAUAAUAAUCAACUAGUUGCUACUCUUUUUAGUGAUAAAAUUUGAAAUAUGGUAUUUUAUAUAUUAAAUUUUCAAAAUUAUGUAUUCACUUAAAUGUAGUUUUACUUAUAAAUAUUAAAAUAUUAUGUUAUUUAAUAUAUUAUUUAUUUGACAUUCAAAUUUAAUAAGGAUAUAAAUGUAAAAGUACAUAUUUUUAAUUUUUUAAGUUGAAAAAAUAACUUAAUAUUUAUUUUCAGAUAUUCAAAUAAAAAAUAUAUUAUUUAAAUUCAAAAAUUUAAAUCUAUUCAAAAUUUAAAGUAAUUCAGGUCUAUGCAUAUUUCAAUCAUAAAAACAAAUGCCACAUGAGUCAUUCAAUUUCUAAUUAAGAGGAUAAAAAAUAGAUUUGGACUAUCCUAAGACAAAAACAAAAAAAAAAACAAAAAUAAGAUUUCCUAAUAAGUGUACUAACGUGGUCACGCGCCUUGAGAAACGCUUGGACCUAACACACUAUUUUAAUCCGAUAUGCAAAAAAAGAAAAAAAAAAAAAAGGAAAAAUUAUGAGAUGUAUAAGUUUCUAGAGACGUGUUAAAUUUUGAUGAAACAAUGAAGAAAGUCGGUGGCCGAAGUUGGUAUGGGGCAAUGCGAAUGGUGGUUGGCCCACGUUGCCCUGUAAUUGGAGUUGUUAUAAUUUUUCUUAUAAUUAAUAGGACUUGACACAGACUGCAGCAUCAGCCGUUGGAUGUGGAGGGAGAAACUAAACAAUAGAAAACCGUAUGGUGGGAUGACGGUAGAUGUUUGUUACAGAAACUGUACCAUAGACAGGUCCUAAUUAAUAAGCUCUACGUUUUGAAACAAUAAAUAAACUCCAGAUGACCAAAAUAUCAUUUCAUACUGCUACCUAGACAUCUUGGCGAGGGUGGGUAAUGUGGGGCCCGGAGCUUGUUUGAUCGUCAAUUAUUCUCUGGUUUGGUGAAACGAAUGGACGGACGAUGGUGAUGGCUUUUAGGAGAUUAGUAUUAUUAUUAUUAUUAUUAUUAUUACAUUGAGAUCGUAAAACAAAAAAUUCAAUUAAUAAUAUAAAAUAUUUAUUUAAUUUAUUAAUUAUUAUAUAUACACAAUAAAAAAAUUUAUAUACAUAUUUAUAAAUGUGUAAAUAAAUUUCAUUCAAUAUUAUAUCCAAUUAAUCAUUUAUAUUUUUACAGCGGUUUAAUAAUAAUAUUUACUAAAUACAUAUGAUUAUUUUUAAAAUUCACAGUAUUUUUAAAAAUAAAUUUUAUAAAAUUUUUAACUAAUUUUCUUUACAACUAACUAUUGAACGGUUUAACUAAUAGUAAUUAUUUUUAAAAUUAUAGUAUUAUCAAAUUAGUCCUAUGUCAAAUUUGUUAUUGCUGUUUUUUUUUUAAUUAAAAAAUUACAUAGUGCAUACGUGCAUAAUAUGCCCAACUCAAAAAUUCACACAAAAUAUACUAUUUAACUUUAAGGCUUUAAUUGAAAAAAAAAAUUAAGAUUAAGAUGAAUAAAUACUAGAACAUAACAAAUAGAUAAACUCUCCCAUUCUUUAAAAAGAUUAAUUUUAUUUUAAACUUACACUUCGAAUUCAAAGUAGACAUUGAUUGAUAAAAUUAUACAAACGGAUCAAUAUUCCUACAUUUUCUUUUUAAUUUCAAAACCAACAGAUAUUGUUUGUUCAUUAUAUGACCUCCAAACAAAUAAUUUCAUUAAUAAAAUAAUAAUGAAAAGUGUCGUGAUGGGUAUAGAGUAAUUAGGUGGCUAAGUUUCUACUUUUCAUUCUAACUCUUGAGGUUGGUAGGCGCGUGGGUGGUCCACAAAACCCGUGGACGGUAGCAUUCAAACAAAGACUGGAGGCACCAGAAAAAUGUCCAAAAAGUGUGAAACCGUGACGUGUUCAACAUGUUAAUAAAUUUAGGCAAAUGUUAAAGUUACGGAGCUGGCUACGUUACAGAAACUGUACGUAACAGCCAUGCAUUUUUUAUUCGUUGGAUCUAGAGACUGAAAUUGGAUGGUUGGGAUUAAAGGCCAGAAUAGAAAUUAAUCACGGGCAACCGUUUUUAACAUUUAGAAGGGUUUAUUUUCAUGCACACCCAAAUAUUUUGACAAAUAUCAAUAUGCACCCAGUAACUUUUUAUGUAAAACCACAUAACCGACCCGUUAACUUUUCUACUAUUGAAUUAAAAAACUAUCAUGCCUCAAUUGAAUUAAAUUGAUCAGGUAAAAUAUCUUUUAUAACUUGUCAAUUUUUACAGUGAAAUAUACGAGUAUUUAGUAAAAUCAAAUUUAUUUUUUAUUCAGUAAUCAAAUUUUUUUAUUUAGUGAAAUCAAAAUUAUUUUUCUUUAGUUGUAAGAUUUUUUUAACAAAAAAAUUCUAAAAUCAGAUUUAACUCAUUUACUAUUUUAAAAAAUGAACUUUUUACUAACCAAACUAGAGUUUAUCUUUAGUCAACAUAUUUUUUUCUCUAAAAUAACCUUUGAUAGAAUUACUUAUAUAAACAUGUCAGUAUCAAAAUUACUUCAUAUUUUACCAUCCAUCAAUUUAAACUAGUGUGAAAUUUUUUUAGUUUGAUAUUGAAAAUAUGAUAGUUGAUGAGAGAAAUCUAAUUCAAAUUUACAGAUAGAAUAGUUUCUUAUAAUUGCGUACAUGGUAUAUCAAAAAUAUUUUUUUGUGAGUUUUUAAAAAAAUUGUGUCACAAGAUGAAAUUAUCUCUUGAUUUUUCAAUUCCUGGAAUUUAUGUAAAACAAUAAACACAAGUAAAUCUUUUGGUUUGUGACUUCUUGAAGGAAUGUUUGGGAACGCACAAGUUCCUCUCUCCUUCAAAAAGAAUGAUAAGUGCAAAUACCAACCUAGAAAAUUGAUUUAUAAUUCAAAGAAGAUUUGAUUGAAGAUGAUUAAUUGAAAUUUAUCUUUGCAUGAUGUCAAACAUUUUUCAAAAUGACUAAGUCAAGUCUCUUUGUUAAUUCAAAUCAAGAAAAAUUAGAAAAAUAUUAAUGCAUAGAAAUUCUACUAAGAGUUAUUUAUGAAAUUCUCAAACGAAUAGAAAUUAAAUUAACAUUUUUAAAUUUUAGUUAUGGGUUUAUUUUAAAAAUGGGUUUAGAAAGAAAUUUGAGGGGUUUAAAGAACCCCGCCCUUUCUUUAAUUAUUCGGUGAAUUUGAAAUAUAUUAAUAAGGUAUAAGAAUAUGUUAUUCUAAUCUUCUUAUGCAAAAUCUAUGCAAUUAAAAAAAAAUUCACCAAACGGUAUUUGUCUUUUUAUUGACAUUUAAUAAUAUUGAUGGCAAAUAUAUACAAUUAUCAAUCAAUUGUUAUCAACUAUUCAAGAUAACUGAAAAACUAAUUGCGUGAAGUUGGAGUAAUGAUUGUUUGAAUUGCCAAGAGUUUUUUUUUAAUAGAAACUAUUGCAAUUCAUAUCAUUAAAAAACUUAAAGACUACAAGUCGAAUAAAAAAUCUUUCCUUAUAAAAGAAUUUGACCAACUCAAAGUACAGUGUUAAAUCCUUGAGAUACAAUGAACCUAAAAAUCCUACUUUGACACACCACAAAUAAUGAAUCUAACUUAACAAUCAAUGGAGAUAAAUCAAUUUUACUAGCAAAAUAUAAGCCAAAACACAAGGCAACGUCUUCACCAAAAUCAAUAUCAUUCAAAUAAUUCCCCUUGUGAACGCCUGAAGCUAUCAUAAAAACAACAAAAAAUAAAAAAAUAAAAACAAGUAGACAAGCAAAAAAAUUCCCCAAUAACAAGUUACCCUACAAAACUUUUCCUUGUAGAACAUACACAGAAACCGCAGCUAUAGGGCUAUCGAAAGUAGGGAUGGCAAUGGGGAGGGGAGGGGAGGGGACCAAUCUCCCCAUACCCAUCCCCGAUAUUUUGCGUAUGUCCCCGUCCCCGUCAGAAUUGCUUGAGAGAAUCUCCAUCCCCUCCCCGAAUAAUAACAGGGGAUCCCCGAGGGUCCCCGGUCUUUGGAAAAGCUAGGAAAGAAAAGGGACGUGAAAAACAAAGGGGGUAGAUUUUUUGAAGGGGAAAGAAAAAGAAACCCUAGAUCUAAAUUUUUCUCUUCUCUCUAUGAAGAACUAAACCUAUUAUUCUGGUUGAAGAUUAAUAAAGCUUUGGUUCAUCAUUACUGUGAGAUCUUUCUUAUGCUUUAAUUGUUUUAUUGCUUUUUGGGUAUUUGUUUAUUCUCUAAAUUAUUGUCAUGAUUAUAUUUGUUAAUUAGAUAAUUGGCCACUAUUUAAUUAUCAACUUAAUCUAUUGUCAAUUAAAAGAUUCAUCGUAUGAAGAUUUUAAUAUUUGUGACAAAUAGCAUAGCAGUGCGUUGUGUUAUGAGAAUAAACAAUCUAAUUUAAAUGAACCAUCGUAUGCGUUUGUUGAUUAGGAUUUGGGUCUCUCUGAUUUUUCAGGUUGUCAAUUAAUUAAAUCCUAUGAUUGUAUCUAGGGUUAUCUAUUAAUUAGGGAAAUAACCAAUGGUCGUACCUUAGUUAUCGACUAGUUAAAGAGAGAUUGGCUAUUAAAGGGUCUCAGUAGCUAGGGAUGGCAAAAAUCCCCACGGGGACGGGCACCCUCGGGGAUUUUCCCCAUUCGGGGAGGGUACGGGGAUAAUUUUAUACCCAAUUUUUUUUUCGGGGAGGGGACGGGGAAAAUUUUUUACCCAAUUUUUUAUUCGGGGAGGGGACGGGGAUGAGGUGGAAUCCCCAUCCCCUACCCAUUUCCCCAUUUUAAUUUUUAUUUUUUAUUUUUAAAAUUACUAAUAAAUAUAUAACAAAAUUAUAAAUAUUGGCAAGAUAUGAGUGGAAUUUUGGGUGUGACAUGUAUAUUUGAUCCAAGGUAUAAAAAGAAGUUCAUUGAAUAAUACUUUUCUUUUUAUUUUUAAAAUUACUAAUAAAUAAAUAACAAAAUUAUAAAUAUUGUUAAAAAUAAUAAAUAUCAAAAUAGUUGUAUGUUGGGAAAGUGGUCACCCCUUACCAGGAAUUAGUGGAAGAGUAUCAAUUGAAGUUUUCACCAAUUGUUUAUUGCUUUGAUUAUACUGGUUGUAGUUCUUCUAUUAGAUCUACAGGGGAUUCUUAUAAGAAAGCAACCAAAUGGAUGACAUGUUUUGAUGAUUAUGUAAACAAUGGAGAUUGUGCAGUUGUUGCAGAUGAAUUAGAUUCAUAUUUGGAUGAAAAAGUUAUACCCCGGAUGGAAGAUUUUAAUAUUUUGAGUUGGUGGAAGACAAAUGCUAAUAGGUAUCCUACAUUAGCUCGAAUUGCUACAGGACGAGCAGGAGGUAAAUAGUUUUAUUAAAAAUAUUAAUUAAGUAUCUACAUUUAUUUCAUUUAUUUUAUUGCCGAUGUAAAAAAUAUUUUUUUUUUCUUUUUAUUGUAGGAUUAUGAAGAUUGAGACAUUGAUAAAGAUAAUUAUUUUAAUAAUUUAUAUUUUGAAUGUGACUUUGUAAUGGAUCAAUAUUAAUGUAAGAUAUAUUUUAAACUUUAUUUUUAUCUGAAUUUUUUAUUUUAAUAUGAUUAAUUUAAAAUCAAAAAUAAAAAAAUGUAUUAGACUAUUAAUUAUUCGGAGACCGGGGACCCUCGGGGAUCCCCUGUUAUUAUUCGGGGAGGGGAUGGGGAUUCUCUCAAGCAAUUCUAACGGGGACGGGGAGGGGACGGGGACAUACGCAAAAUAUCGGGGAUGGGUAUGGGGAGAUUAGUCCCCUCCCCUCUCCUCCCCAUUGCCAUCCCUAGAUUUUUGCCAUCCCUAUCGAAACCUCUACCCACCACUAUUAGAGUUAAAAAAAUCUCUGAUAUGAGUGUAUUCUUCUAAUUUGAACUCUAACGUGAUUUUUUGAGAGAUUCAUUGGAAAAAAACCUUAAGGAGUUAAAGAAGAAAUUUAAAAAAAAAAUCAUAAAAAGAGGAAUGAAAAGAAAAAGAUGCUUUACCAAGAGUUGAUUGACAGUAAUUGGUAAAUUUGAGCAUGCAAUAAAAUUUACCCAUAUAUUCAUAUGACAUAAAAUAUAAUUUUAUUCAUUAAUUACACUACUAAUUUGUCUAAAUUUUAGUUUUUAAAAAAAUAAAUUUCUAUAUAUUUACAUAAAUCUUAGUUUUUAUAAAAAUAAAUUGAAAAAUAAAUUUAUGUUUUUAUAAAAAUAAAUUUAUGUUUAUUUUUUUACAUUGACCUGAAGAAAAGACUAGUACUACUAAGCUGCUGUACGGCCAAGGCGGAUGUACGGUACAGCAGCAAUUUGACUGUUUGGGGGUGGGGUUGAUGGCUUACAUCAAAGUUAGUGUGUGCUAAGGAUUAACAAUAAUAAUGGGGUAAAUAUGAAAUUAAUCCUUGCCCAAGCAUUAGAAGUUCGUCGGUUUUCUUUUAACCGGAUAAUUACCGGUGAAUAUGUCACGCGUUCCUACACGUGGCAGCAUCUAAUUUAUUCGCUUGUCAUUUCAGUUUCUGUUAGUUACAGUUUCUGUAACGUAGCUAGCUCCGUCAGGUACAGGCAUGUUGUAACUUACGUUUCUCGUAAAAAUCAUAUAAGUUCUAUUUCUACCGCUAGGGUGAGCAUGGGUUGAUUUGGAUUAAAUUUUAAGUUAAUUUAAAUUAAAUUAUAAAAAUUUGGGUGUAAUCUAAAUUAAUUUAAAUAUUUUUAACAUAACUCAUGGGUUGGUUAAAUCAAACUAUAAAAAUUUGGUCCAACUCAAAUUAACUCAAAUAUUUUCAACACAACCCAAAGCAACUCAGUUGGAUUUUAUUAAAAUUAUAAUAAUUAUUAAUUGUUUUUAAACCAACCAUUUUGAGUUUGGUUUGGAUUUUAUUAUCAAAAUAUAUUUUUUAUUUUGAGAAAUUUAAUUUUAUCAAAAUUAUAAUAAUUAUUAAUUGUUAUUACUUAUUAAAUUGAUAAUAACAUAUAAAAAUUAUAAUUCAUAAAAAUUAUAAAUAACAAAUUUUACAAUAACUUAAUCCUUAAAUUAAAGAAUACUAGAAAAUUAAAAUAAAGUUUAAUCACAAAAAUCAUUAUUUAUCAAUAAAUAAGAAAAUUCUAAUAAAAAACUUCUACAAGCACGAUAUCGACAAGUAAAUUCAAAGAAAGAAAGAAAGAAAGAAAAGACUAGUACUACUAAGUAUUAACCCUAUUACAACACAAACUCUAACAAUGUCCAUACAAAUAAAAAAAAAUAAGACAUUCUAACUCAAGUGUCAAAGCAAUCCAUCAUAAUCAUUUCCAUCCGUAGUACUUUAAUCGAGAGAUUCCACGAUUAACUGACAAAAUGUAUGACAAUGAUAAUUUACAUUGAUUAUGACAUAAUAGAGAUGGAUUUGUCAAAGCCAAAUCAUUUGCUGGAAAGGAAUUUAGUUGAAGUAGGAACCAAAAUUCAACUUAGAUGGAUCUAUAAAAUUGGUCAUUCAAUACAUAAGUACUUUAUCAACAGAUUCAACACAUUAUAAAUUUAUGGAUUCAACUAAGUUACAACCAGCUGCAACUUAUUCCUCUCACAUAAACAAUAAUACAGCGGUAGGCUAUAUUAUUUACAAAAAGUACUUAUGUAUUGAAUGACCAAUUUUAUUACCUGCAAAAUUAAUUAAUCUUUCACUCUAUCAUCUAACUAAUGGAAGGCAAUCUUAUUUUAGGUUGUAAUGAUUAGAAACUAGCAGGAAGUGGGGGCGAUGCUCCAUAUUAAUUUGGAUAAAUCCCUUUCUAGUGAAGAAGUUAAAAUUAUAAAAUAGAGAUCAAGAUAGAAAUUUAAAGGCCCCGAUUGUUUUUUACAGACUUAAAAAUGAUAUUGAAAAAUUAAAAGCUAAUUUUAGUAUUUAAAAAUUACUUUAAGAAAAAUCACCCUAUCUUCCUGUAAAUUUUGAAAAGCAUGAAAAGAGCAGUUUUUCAAAAAUUGAUUUCGAAAAUUAGUUUCAUACUUAAUACAAUUCCAUAUAUCCUAACAUUUAUUAUAAAAAUUCAAAUUAUCCUUAUUAAAUUAGGAAAUAAAGUCAGUACAUUUAAAUAAGAGUGAUGAUAUAGACACAAACUCUUGUACCAACUGACGUAGCAUUAAUUUAUUAGUUGAAUGAAAAUAUAAAAUAAUAUAAAUAAAUCAUGUGGGCCAAGAAAUAUUUAAUUUAACCAAUUUUAUCAUGUCACAUUAUAAGCAACUUAUAAACUCAUUGGAUUCGACUCUUUACUAAAAUAAAAAUAAAUUAAUAUAUAUAUAUAUAUAUAUAUAUAUUUACAUACAUAAAAUGUGAUUAUAUACACAUAUUUAUAAUUGAAUAUGUACAUAAAUUCUGUAGAUUUAUGUCUAUCUAUACAUUUGCAUUCUUACCACAUUUUAAAAGUGUGAUUUACCAAAUACAUGGGACUUAUUUGAAAUUUAUAGCACUUUUAUAAAUAAAAUUUAUCAAACGUUAAACAGAUUCUCUAUUUUCGCGUAUAUAUCCUCAUGUAAAUUAUAAAAAUUCAAAAUUAUCUUUAUUCAAUUAGGAAAUUAAAUCAUUAUUUUUAAAGAGAUUCUUAUUAUUACUAAUUAGAUUCAAAUAACCAAAAAAAUACAAUCAAUAAAAUAAAAAUAUUUAUUUUAGUUAUCAUUUAUUAUAUACACAUAUUUAUAAAUGCAUGUGUAAAUAAAAUUUUAUAGAUUUAUGUCUAUUUAAGUUAUUUGCAUUCUUACAACAUUUAAAAAAUGAGAUUUACUAAACACAUGUGAUUGUUUUUAAAAAAGUUACAACACUUUUAAAAAUAAAAUUUAACAAAUGUUUAAUUGACUCUCUCCAAAGGUAAUUGUUUUUACAGUAUAGCUAAAGUAAUUUAUAAAUUUAUGAUAAGUAUUUGUGAAUAUUGGUCUAUGUAAAGAAGUAAAAACAACAUAUAUAUUAAGCAGCAUGAUAUUAAAACUCUUAGUAAAAUACAUAUACUAAUAAAAGAAAGACAACAAUGCAAUAAAUAAGCUUAUAAUAUAAAUUAUUAAAAUUGUAUAUUAAAAAAUUAUGCAUGAAAUUCUUUUUCUAUUUUGGUGAUAGAGAAUGCGAUAUAAUUGAAUUAUUUGAUUUAAUAAAAAAAAAAUAUGACUGUGAAGGAAAUUAACAAUUGAAUUGUGGAAUGUUAUUAAUUGUUAUUGUAUCAUUUUGCAACGUUCUAAUAAUAUGGACAAUGUUACAGUAUAUUGAUGGGCGGUAAUAUUUUCACCUCUUAAAUUGUGUAAAGUCAGCUCCAUUUAAAAAAAUUAUAUAUAAAAAGCCCAUUAGUUUUAAUAGUUUCAAAUUAAGAUUAAAUGCAAAUAAUUAACCAAUUAAAUCCUUAUUAAUAAGAUCAUUGAGCUUUAAUUAAACUAAUAAAAUGCAUUUGAUAAAUGAAAUUUACGAUAUUUAAUUACAUGAAAUUUAUUGACUACAUGAAUAAUAUAAUUGUUCAGCUGUUUAAACUUUUUCCCUAUUUAAAUUUUAAAAAACAAUGUGAAAUUUUGUAAAUAGUUCUUUGAAAUGGGGUGGAUUUACACCAUUUGUGCAGUGCAAAUAUCCUAAUUCUAACAUUUUUUUUAAAAAAAAAGACCAAAUCAUAACAUUUUUUGUAUACUAAGUUAAAGUAGUACUAACAUUAUAGCCCCCUAAUGAUUUCAAUUCAUUCAAUGAAUAUAUAAUUUAAGCAUGUUAUAAACUAAGUCUCUAAAUCGAAUUAAAAAAAGAAAAAAGAGCUUAAUUGCUGACAUAGUUGAAAAUAAAAUAAAAAAUUUUAUUAUUAGAUGAAAAAUUAUGAAACUUAAGGGGUAUAAGCGAGUCGGCAGCUGCUCACCAGGGCAUAUGUAAUAUUUGUUAAUACAUUUCAAAAUUUUAGGUUUUUUAAUAAUAUUUUCAAUACAUUUUCUAGAAGGUUUAGAAAAAAAAAAUGACUCAAUACUUUAAUCGAGCUAUGAAUAAACUCAUGUGUUAAAAAAUUUCAUAUUUACACCCAAUAAGAUUAAUUAAUGGGUGAUACAAAUUUAAGAUAGUUAAUAAUAAUAUAUAUCAUCUUAAGUUAACUUCAACUCAUUAACCUUGUAUAAGGUUUGAUGGGUCGUGCCGCAAAUUAUCACCUCUAAUCCUUUUUGCAACAGGCAUGAUGAAUGCUAACAAAAUGAAACUUCUAUAUAUUUAGUUGUUAUUCUUUUUAAUGAAAUAAUAAGGAGCUUUGCUGCAAAUUUCCAUCCAGCAUGGCAUGGACGCACGUGAAAUUUGCUAGUAUGGUCCUGGACAUGCGUGGCUGAGAUGCUUCUAAAGGCAAAGAAUUCCAAGUUCAUACCAAAUAUAACUUUCUGAUAUUUUUGUGGUAUCAAGUUUGUUUUUCACAAACUAAGGUGUCGGCGUAAAGUUGUUGUCCAUGCAAUGAAGUUUUAUACAUAAAUAUAUUAACCUAAAUUGUUACUAAAGUUCCAUAAUUAGCAGUUCCUGAGAGUUUUUACUAUAUAUUUUUUUGUUUUAAUUCAACAUAUGUUUAUUUAAUACGAUUUUAUUAAAUAAAUGUGCAUAUUUACCAUAUUUGUCUACGAUCAAUUAGUUGGAAAAAAAAAAGAAAAUUAAUAAAUUUAUUUAUUUGAUUGUUAAUGGUUUAGGCAUUUGAAUUCCCACAAAGUCAGGGUGUCAGCUCUGGACUUCUGGUGAUGUAUUUUUCUAAUAAAGAAAUAAAAUAUUGUUGUCAUUUUUUUAAUAUUCUAAUUUACCAAGCCUACCAACCAAUUAAUUUUUCUAAUUAGAUCAUUAAUUCAUUACACGUGCAUUCGCUGGCCCAGUGCUCCAAUCCCAUGCAUGCUGCACAACUCAAUGUGUUUUAAUAAGAAAAGGUUUGGUUAGCCUGUGCUGAUGCCAGAAGCCCCUUAAGGAGUUCAGGUAAACGUAAAUAUGUCCAGAUUUAGAUUUGAAUAUGUAAACGUAAAUAGGUCCAGAUUCAGAUUCGUUGCGCUAGAGAGGGGCACGCACGAUCGGGCUGCUGUCAGGUGGUACGUUGGCGUGGCAAUUCUCAACACGCGCUUCUCCUGGUGCAUACUUACGGCAAGUUGACACGUGACCCGUGUGGAUUGAGUGGACAGAGUCACGGGCACUGAUUUUUGUCAUCCAUAACGACUAACGUCGGAGACUUCGAGAAGAAAGAAAUUGUUGUCGUUUCUAAGGGGAAAAAAAUAUUUAAUUUGUUGAAGACAAAUUAACGUCGGAGAUUUUUUUUAUUUUUUAUUUUUAAUUUUGCAAUCUAAACCAGUCUAAUCAAAAUGUCAAUUUGACAAAAGUUGGACUGAUUUAGAUUAGUUCUAUUAGUUUGAUUGGAUUAAAUUGAAUUAGAUCUUGAACAUCCUAACACUUUUCAUGAAUGUUUUCCUUUUUUUUUGAAAAAAAUUAAUAAGGAGAAUUCCCAUGAAUGUUAAUUUUAUUGAUAAACUUGGCAAUUUUAAGAAAUGUUUUGACGCACGAAUAAUGCAAUUCAUCAACCCACAUAGAUAUGGAUAUAGGAAGCAGAGACCAGAUCGAUCUUGACAUAACGAAAACUUGUAUGUGUAUAUGUAUGUUACAGACCAGAUCGAUCUGUAGCAUAGACUUCUCCUAUAUGUAGGUUAUAUUCAAAUUACAAAAUGAACACAUGUUAAGGAUCUACAACUUCUUCUUUAAUCUAAUAAGCUCCCUCAACUUUAUUCCAAAACAAAAAAGAAUCAAAUUUUUGUUGGAAAUAUUUAUGAAUGAAGAAGCAAAAAGCGCUUGUAUCAAGGAUCUAAUUAAAGAACUGCCAGAGGCAUAGAUCUAUCAAAGCUCCCUCGCAUGACUCUUGGUCUCGGUGGCUUCUUCUUCUUCAUUCCGAAUUUUCCCUCCAUCUGAUCUCUUCCAACCUUUCCAUUUCCAAAUUGAAUUGAAACUUGCCUCAUAUUCGUUUGUUGAAUCCCAUCUUUUGUUGCACCACCAUGCAUCAAAAUCCUUGAAAUCCCAGCAUAAUGCAAGGACUCAGCUAUUUGCAAUGGGGUCACGUUCUUACUUGUCCUUGCCUCAACAUCAGCUCCCUUCUUCACAAGCAAUUCAGUCACAUCUGUGUGGCCAGAUUCCACCGCACAAUGCAAAGCUGUGUACCCAUCUUCAUCUUUAGCAUCAACAUCAAUCCCUUUAUCAAUCAGAAUCCUCACAACCUCAAUCUUUCCCUUAAACGAAGCCCUAUGCAAAGCAGUCCAUCCAUGUAGGUCUUUCCCAUUGAUCGCGGCGCCUGCUUCGAUCAACCUCUGCAUUGUCCUCACUUCCCCUUUCCUAGCGGCAAUACACAGGCUGUCACCAAGCUUCAACGCGUCAAAGAGACGGGAGUGACCGCACUCAGCAGCAACAUCAUAAGCGGUCUUUCCGCUCUUGUUUCUAAUAUAUUUAUUAGCACCCUUCUGCAAUAACAGCUUCACCAUUUGCUCAUAUCCCAAGCUUGCGGCGAUAUGCAAAGGCGUGUCACCGUCUCUAGCGUUGCGUAUAUCAGGCCUUGCUCCGUUUGCUAACAGAAGUCUCGCGCAAUCUCUUCUUCUGUCUUCAACCGCGAGAUGCAGAGCUGUGUUACCAUCUUUUGUUAAAGCAUUGACAUUAGCACCUUUGAUUAAGAGAAGCUUUAGUACUUCCAAAUGGCCGCCUCGUAAGGCCAAGUGUAUGGGCCCCCAUGUUGAUGUUCCUGAUCUUUCUGUGCUGGCUUUCCUCGCCAACAAGAGCUCAACAAUAAGUGCUUCCCCUGCAGCCGCCGCGGCUUCAAGUGGAGUACUGCAGCCACACCUGCCUUGAGACUCAACAUCCGGCCCAAACUCAAGCAAAAGUUGAACAAUAUCAGGCCUCCUUUGAGCUAUAGCAAUAUGAAGCAACGUUUGUCCCUGCGCAUCGGCAGAAUCAGCCGGGUUCCAAGCCGGGUCACUCCGCUCAAGAACCUCUCUUAAAUCAUCCAUUUCACCAUCCUUAACAAGCAGAACCAAAACAGGAGACCCAACGAACAUGAUCUUGAUUCCGCUGUCGAUGAACACUUGCUUCUUCCUCGUUGUGAACCAGUCACUGGGGACGGAAUCAAGCGUCGACGUUGCAUCUUUAAUUCCAGCUCCAGGAACAACAACGCUGUGCAAGAGGAAGGAAUCAUCACAGUGAGGGAAAGAAUCAGGAAGAACCGAUCCUGGAGGGAGAUGAUACGCAAUCUCUACGCUUAGUGUUGCGAGUGGUGAUAUGAUUCCUGAUUGCGGCUUCACAGUAUAACGAGCCUUGUUUGUAGGCUGAAUCCUGAAAGCAACAGGCAUCGUGUGCAUGACAUUGCGGAGAGUCAGCUCCCCGGAACAUUUCUGCCCUGGUUCAAUUCUGAUAGCUACAAGGUUCGACGGCUCCAAGCUUACAAGCCUAUCCAUUGAUUAAUUUUCUCUCCGUUUCCCAAGGACUGCUGAAAGGGGUUCUUUGAACUUUUUGAUUCAGGCUUAUUUUCUUCACUUUUGGUGGCAUGGGGAGGAAUUAGAGGAGUAACUGUAAGAGCUGCAAGUGUUGGUGUAAUCAACUGUAAUAUAAGGAGAAGAGAGGGCCGGCUCUAAUGGGAGACUGCCACGUGGUGGUGUUAAAAACAAUGAGACUUGUUCUGUUCGGCGUCCGGAGUGUAUAUACAGUUGUGUUAGUGGUGAAAGUUAAAGAAAUCCUGAAGUUAUUUUCGGAGUGGCUUCUGCAAAGUCACUUUCAGGAUUGUAUUGUAUCAUUAAAAAACAAAGCCAGUUUUUGUUGUUCUAGUAAAAGGCGAAUCAUUGGACAAACUCGUAAGAAUAUGUUGCCAAAUGUAUAAAAUAUGAAAUUCAAACAAUGAUUACAAUGUGAAAUUGGACAAUGGACAUGGCCUGUGUGAAUUGUUUUGUGGGCUUACUAAUUAAAUUAAUUCACUAAAAAUAAUGUCACUUUUGUGUCUGUGAAGAAGCCGAAAUGGCACAGUCAUUUACGUGGCCAACUACGGUGACUACUUCGUCAGUAGCUGCUCGAGCACUUGGUCAGCACAAGUUGCUUUCUUUCUUGGCGGGAUUAGUUUUUCUUCAUUGCUUUAAGUGGUGCAUUUCUGCAGUUUCAUUUUGCUUUGCUUAUGCCAUUGGAUUUGUGCCCCAUAAAUAAAUAUAUAAUUAAGCGGAAAAGUAUCAAAUUUUGAAAAAGCUUAGGUUUUGUGUGUGUGUGUGUGUGUGUGUGUGUGUGUGUUUUAAGCCGAAUUACUCGGCUAAAAAUUAAUCCGAUUAUUAUUGUUUUGGUGCUUAAGAUGUGACUCUAACCUAAAGCUCAUUUGAACUCUCUUGAUGCUCAUAUGGUAUUUUUUGUGUUGUGUCGUGCUGGCCCUUACACAUCUCGGCUCAUAUUUUUCAUGUUACUAAGUUCUAAUAUGUACAAAAGAAAUAGAGCAAUGUCCGGUGGUAGAUCCAAACACUCAAUUUGGGGUGCUUAUUUUUCAGUCUCAAAUUCGAUUAUUUUCUUUUAAAAUAUUAAAAUAAUAGUAAUAAAAUACUUAUUUUAAAUACUGAGCUCAUUACAACCACAUAUGUAAAAGUAUCAUUUAUAUUUUUUUUCUAAAUAAUCUUCACAAAAUAUUUUAAAAAAUAAAAUUAUGUGACUAUGGGGAUUUGAACCAAGUCUCUCAAACUACUAAAUAACACUUUUACCACUAAAUUACAAAUCUUUUAACAUAUUAAAAGUGCAUCCAAAUUAUUAUUAUUAUUUAAUUAUUUCAUAAGAGAUUUGGGGCACAUUUAAAAGAAAAAAAAUUAAUGGUGCAUAAAGGACUAAAGCCUCUCUUGAGUCCUUGACCUUAACUAGGUCCACCCAUGGUAAUGUCAGUGAUACCCAACUUGAAAAAUAUACAAGAAACUUGGAAAUUUAAAUUAAUGAAUAAAUAAAUAAAUAAAAGGAAACUUAGUGAUUGUAGCUGUUGUAUUGUAUUGUGGAUCAAAGAAUUACAAGUUCUUGGUUUCUCGGUAUUGGCUAAUUUUGAAGUUAAAUGAAGUUCGAAAAUAUUUACAAGCAAUAAAAUUAUCAACUGAAUGAGACAAGGAAAGAGUAUAAAGACCUUAGCAAAUUAGCAAUCCUUCUUUAAUUUAGUAACAGUGACGCUUAUAAAGUUAGAAGACGUAUCAAAUCUAAUUUAGAUUUUGCCCCAUAAAACUAACUUAACUUAUAGUGCGUCUUUGUUUAAUUAGUAAAUAUUCCACAAAAACUGAUCAGCACUUUAUAGGAAAUUCCAAACACGUUUAUAUUCACAAGGAAUAUGUCAAGGAGAAAUGAGAAUAAAAAAAUGUAAAAACUAAUAAAGCUUCAUUAAUUAGAAUUUAUAACCAUAUGUGCUCCUAUACUACUUUUAUUAUUAAGAAUUUGAAGUAGAAGGUAGUUGAUUAUCAUGAAAUUACAAAAUUGUAAACGGAUUUGUUCUUUUGGAAAAAGAAAAAAAAAAAAAAAGGAAGGAUAGUUGAUUACUUGAUUAGUGAGAAAUCAUACGUAUAAAGGACAAAUUGAAAAAUGGGACCUGAAUUGCAACAAAGCUUCAUUGGAAUUAACUGCCGAUAAAAUUAAAUUAGUAUCACCCUACCCUUUCAUCUUAAUAUAUUCGAAAUUUCACCGAUCAAAGUUUCUAGCUUCGAUUUUUACGAUCUCUCAUCCUAAUAACACCAAAAGCAUAUUCAUUCGUUUGUAAGAUUAUGUAACAAAAUAUAGUAAAUAGCCUAUAAUUUUUUUGUUUUACUACUAACCUGUUAUCAUUCUUUUCUAAUAAUACAUGUUAAAAUAUUCACAGAAAAAAUUUAUCCCUAUUACACCCAACCACCUUUUUUUGUGUUUUUUUUGUUCAAAUUUUAGCAUUAAAGGGACAAUAAUGUCCUAUGAAAUAUGCAGAAAGACAGUUAAUAAUAUUCAAAAAUGUAAGUGGAGGUAUCUUACGCCACACACACAAAUUACACGACUCUCAUUAAUGUGUUGUUGUUGUUAUGUGUGGCGUAAGUUACAGUUGAAUGUCAUAUUCAAAAAAGUAAGUGGAGGUAUCAAUCUCCCUAAAUAAAUAAUUUAUGGAAGGUUGUUAGCUGUUGUACUUUUAGUUAAUUUUAAAAUCACAAUAAUAUGGUUAAUGUUAAGUUACAUGCAUGUAACUUAGGAGGAUCCCAAUAAUAUACCAUAUUUUAUUAAUAUGUACAGUAUUUAUAAUAUUUAAAAAUUAAGGAAUUAAUGUACGCAUGUAAAAGCUGCAUUGGAGCCAGUUGGAAAUCUUACUGUCUUGAUAUAUGCAACGAUUGUAGCAGCUAAAAAGGCAUGAUAUUUACUUAAUAUUAUUUCAAACAAUAAUUAUUUAUUUAAAGCAAAUAAUAAUAAUGAGGGCAGAAGGACUAUUCUAGGAUCAAUAUGGUGACAGUAUAAAUAAAUAAUAUUAAUUAUUAAUGCAUUGAUGAGUAUUGUUAAAAUGACAUAAUAGGUUUGUUUCAUUGAAUUGAACCUUUUCUCUUAAAAUAGCUAUAAUUUGUUCUCUCUCUCUCUGUGUUUUUGUUUUUGUUUUUCACUUUAGUUUUACUUCUCUUAAAAAACCAAAAAAAAAAAAACAAAAUUAAUGGAAACUGAUGAUGGGAAGACGGACAAUUUUCUAUAUUGUUAAAUAGAAAUGGGCACAAAUGUGAGUUUUUUGGGGCAAAAAAAUAUAGUCAAUGUACGUAGCGUUUGUCUAUUUGAAAACCCGUCAAUAUAAAAACAGGACGUAAAGCUUUCAGACAAAGUACUCUUAUGGCCGUACUUUCCAUAAACCAAAUCAAAAGAAGGAAAAUAUUUGUGUCUGGCUUCGAUGCGACUGUUAACAUUCACAAAUAAACACCUUUGCAUGGUCAGAAAAAUUAACAAGAAAUUAGAAGGCGAUGUUGCGUUCUACUUAGUUCUCUAGGAUUUGUGUCAUUUGUUUAUGCUACGGUUCGUUCCCAUUUGCAUUGCGUGGAAUAAUUGGCCGAAUAUUAUUAAUCUCAAUCUUAAUCUCUCAACUCUUGUCCCUUUAAUUUUUGUUUGUAUCUUUUUCUUUUUUUUUUUAAAUAUCACAUACAAUGCUUUUAAUAAAUAACUUCAUAGAAAUAUUUAAUAAAAUCCAACAUAUAUAAGUUCAAGAAACUCAAAAAAUAAAAGAAAAUAAACUCACGUUGUCACUGGAGAGACUCAAACAUGCUACCUUAAAAUUAAGUAGAGGGUGCAACUACUUGCACUUUAAAAAAAGAAAAGAAAAAAAAAGGGGCUUUGAACGCUCGUGAUAAUUUGCAAGUUAUGGAGGAUAAUCAUUGUACAAUGGGGAGAACUCUUAUGGAACAAUAUUCAAACUGAUAUUGAAAGCAUAUAAGAAUUUGGCUUGGGUGUUUUGGUGCCAUGAAUGAGUGCAGAAACAAAGAGGAAGCUUUGUCCCUUUAAUUUGAUCUGCUGUAUUAUAAUUAUUGAGAUUAAUCAAAUAAAUAACCGAAACAUGGUUACAGUUUUAUAGUGUAUUGCAAGUCUUUGGAGAUACUAUGUACCUCAAAAAAAAAUAUCGUAUAAAAGAGUGUUUUGUUUCACAGGGGUUCAAUGAGAUUUGAGAUGGCUGUAAUGAAAGUGAUGUAAAUUUUUUGGACUCUAAUGAGGUGUUUUUAGAUGGAGGGGGAUUUACAAGUAUUUUAUAGGGGUGAUAAAUGACUGUAUACCCACCAAAAAGGCCCAUUGUUCGAGUCCAUGAGCAUUACAGUUUUUUUUUUUUUUUUUUUUGAAAUUCAGAACAUGCAGUUUGUUUGAUUCAACUUCCGAAUUACAAAAUUAGAAUAAGAAAAAAAAAUGUGGAUGUUUUUUCUUUAAUUUACAUAAUAAUACAUGGUGUGGACGAUGUCUAUUGAGGGAUAAAAGAGGAAUGGGGGCACUGUGAAGUUUGUGUUUUUGUUUUUUUUAAAUUAUCAUAUUCAUACUGUCUAUAAAAAUAUGCAAGUUAAAAAAUUACUCAUGAUAUUGUUGUUUUUGUUUCAUAUAAUACUACUUAUGCACAUCGCCUCAUGCAAACAUUUCUUAGUUAUGCUUAAAAAAAUGAGAUUCUCACCAUGGGUCACUGUAAAAAUCCACAGAAGCCGUGGAUCACAGUAGGAAGCCCACUUGAACAGAAGAAGCUACCGAAAGCUUCGACAUUGUAUUUAUGAAAUGCUUAGUAAAUUUUGUUUUAUUUUGAAUUUAUAUUAUAAAUGGUGUGUUGCUAAAUUAAAAAAUAAAAAAGAAAUGCAAUGUGUCAAAAUACAAGAAUCUUACGGACAUUUUUGUCACAAUAUAUGUAAAUAAUUCAUAUCUUAUUCAUAUCCUAUGUAAGCUUCACUUGUUUAACACAAUGGUGGUUGAAUCUUCAAAAAUUCAUAAUCUUAAACAACCAAAUUUGGAAUUAAUUAAGCAAAUUGCCUCUAUAAAUUGAUUACAACAACCAACGACGUGUGAAGCCACAUGUCAAUUUCCCUAGACAGCCCAAAUAUUGAGGCGCUGUGAGGGAGCAAGGUGCAAUCGGAUGGGGGAAAGAGAGAGAGCCAAUGGUGAGAAUGGAUCGUGGUGAGGGAGAACCAACUGGUGGUGAGAUUUGUGGCUUCAAUGAGGUGAGUUUCGUGGCGCUGUGAGUGAAGUGAGAUUUGGCAUGAGUGUGAGGGAGAAUGCGUGUGUUGUGUGAGUGAGGUAAGCUGUGUCUGUUGUGUGCAUGGAGACUCUCACCACAAUUAGAAUUUAUAGUUAGCACAGAACGAAACACAAUAUUCUACGCUAACUGUGGAGUUAACCAUGGUGAGAAUAUCAUUAUUGUUUAUUAUAACACUUUUUUUUUUAAUUUGUUUUGACAAUAAAAUAAAGAACCUUGUAAGAAAACCUCAAUAACUCAAUUAAAAAACCAACUCAACCGAUGAUAGGUAAAUUGAGAAAUUUUCAACUAAAAAUUAUUAAGAUUGGUUUUAACUUCAAAUCAUAGUCACAUAGUUUUGUCCUUAUAAAGAUCAAAAUAAUGAAUUCUAACUCCGAAGUUUUUAGAUUUAUGUGACGAACUGACGAUAGUAUAUUGAAAUCGAUUGAAAUGAAAAAUUUAAUUAAAUGCAAUUCAAGAUGUAGUAUCAAAUUCAAACGAUUCGGAUUGUUUUAAAAAUUUCAAUGCUUUAAUCUAAAUCGAUUAAUCAAUUACACUCUUGCAAUUAUAUACCGUUAAAACUAAAAUAUGUAAAAUUUAGGGUGCAUUUAUUACCAUUUUCAAUUUGUUGUUUUUCGUUUUAUGAAAAGGAAAAUACAGAAAACUUGUUUGGUGAGCUCAUAUUGGUGGAAAACUGUACAGUGAUUAAAAACAAAAAAAAAUUCAUUUUUCAAUGUUUACAAAGGAAACAAGAAAACGCUAUUACACUGGGUUCUCUAUUUUAUUUCACUUUUACUCUCUGCCAAGGCCCUACCAUCUUAACUUUUAUAACAUGGUGUAAUAAAUUACGUGGGCCCAUUUAAUAAAGAAAUAAUCUAAUAAAUAAAUUAUUAUAACAAAUAUUUAAAAAUAAUAGCAUUCCAUACCUUACAGCUUAAUUACUUAAUAUAUUACCCAAAUUAUUUUAAAUAAAAAGUGAUAUCAUAUAAUUAUUAUACUAAAUUAUUACAUUGUUCGACCAAUAUGCAGUUAUUUAAAAAUUACUACAAACUUUCUUACAUAUAUUAAUGAAAAUAUAUCAAUAAUAAAGUUACAUCUUGACAGUUAAUAUAAAUAAAUAUAUGAUAAUUAUGAAAUAAUUAAAGAUUUUCUCAAUUAAUAUUAUCUUAUAACUACAAUUUAUUUACAUAAUUAAAAGUUUUUAAGAAAUUAUUAAAAUAUCUUCAAACCUAUAUGCAUUUAUAAUAAUAUAUAAUACAUCAUAAUAUAAUAACUAAAUAGAUAAAUUAUUUAUUAAUAUAAAAUAUAUGUUUAUAUUCAUUAUAUAAUAUUAUUCUUUCAUAGUAGUUUCAUUAAAUAAUUCUCUACUCUCUCUCUUUUUAUCUUUAUUUUUUCGGACAGACAAGUAACCAAACACCGCUUCACCUUUUUUUUAUUUUCAAAUACUAUUCUUAAAAUAAACUACCAAACAUAUUUUUAUUUUUAACAAAAACUAAUCAUUUUUAUUUUAUAAAACAAAUUGAAAAGUACUAUUUAAAAUAUAAUACCAAACUUACCCUUAAUAAUUUUAUAUUUGUCAAAAAGAUGAGAAGCUAAGUGGCACUAUCGUUUACCUAUUCAAACUAAACGUGGAGUCACAAUAUUGAAGACACUUUGGUGGCCACAACACUCUUUUCUUUAGUACGGAACAAUCUGGCUUACAUGACACUACAUAAAAAUAAAUAAUAAAAAAUCACCGAUUCCAACUGCCCCGGACAAAAAACAGGCCACACGUAAAAAGGCUUCUAUUUUUAUUUUUAUUUCUCCCCAUUUUAAAGAUGACGUCAUGGUGAUUAUGAAACCAGAAAAUAACAAAUUUUAGUUGUCUGAUUUUGUAGUUAUCCAGCGAAAACUAAAAAAACAGUGAACGCAGCAGCAGAUCUCCGUGUUUGUCGUCGUUCGAUGAGAGAUUCCGAUUCGUGAGCAUCGCAAGUGUUGAAAUGGAAUCAGACGAAAUGAGGAGUUAGCCUCUUAUUAUAUAAUAAUAAUAAUGAUAAUAAUAAUAAUAACUAAUCUCUUUUAUCAUAUAAUUGAUAAUGGAAAUUCACAUUGACAAAAGGCAAAUUACACACUGACUGGGCAGAAUAAAAAACAGUCUCUCUCAAAAGCAAUAAUUUAAACACUAACACCACCUUAAGGAGACACCCCAAAAAUAAAGCAGCAAGCUCUUACUGUGACCACACACACACACACACACCAAACUUUUAUUAUAGAAUAAAUCUAAGAUGAUGGAUGAUGGAUGCGUCACAUAAAAGUUAAUUAAUUUAAUCGCUGUCACUGCUGCUGCUGCUCUCGUGUCCGUCCUCGUGCUUCUUCUUCUUCUCCUUCUUUUUCUUCUUCUCUUCACCGUGGGCGGCGCCCUCGCCGCCGCCGACACCGGGGAUCUUCUGCUUGAUCUUGUCCACCAAGCCCUCCUUGUGUUCGCCCUCCUUGUGUUCCCCGCCGUGAUGCUGCUGCUGAUGGUGAACAUCAGUAGUGCCGACACCGGGGAUCUGCUGCUUGAUCUUGUCCACCAAGCCCUCCUUGUGUUCGCCGCCGUGAUACUGCUGCUGAUGGUGGACAUCAGUAGUGUGGUGGUCCCCACUAUGGUGCUCUCCCUUGUGCUUGUCCUCCUCCUUUUGCCCUCCUCCCAUGUGAAGGGCUUCUCCGAUCUUGUGAAUAACUCCUGACAUUUUCCCUUAAAAUGACUCUGUUCCUCUUCUUUUCUUUUCAAUGAAAAAUAGUUGUUUGCGAUCUUCUUCUGGUUGUUGUUGUUCUUGUUGGGUGAUCUUGGCUUGGUAUUUAUAGGCUCCAAAAGGAGGGACUAGAAUUAGGAUUAGAUUAUAGAUUAUUUUAAUACAUUUUAUGGCAAAUUCUGAUUUGGAAAGAUAAGAUUAUCCUUUUGGUUUUCCUUAUUUACCCUUUUGCACCCAUUACGUGUACGCGUCUUCGUGGGCUUUUUGGGUAUUUCAAUUAUAUCGCCAAUGCUAAAUCGACACGUUGCAUAUCAGCCGCGGUACUGCCGUAUGUAGUUGUCCAGAAAUCGAGUCGAUUCUCGAUCGUACAAUAAUUAAAUAAUAUUUCAUACGAAAUGAGUUUAGAUAUAUUUUGAAAAUUUAUUUUUAAUUUAAUUAUACGUGUUAUAUAUUUGUUAAUCGAAUAGAGGUCCCACGUAACAGAGUGUUUCUCUAAUCUUUCAUUGCUUUUAAUUAAUUUUACCCAAAUAAAAAAAAAAAGGAAAAUUUAGAGAGAGAGAGAGAGAUAGCGAAUUAGAAGUUGAUUGUAAUAUCGACACCUGUCAGACAAUCAAAUAUCGUUAGUUAAAAAUCAGUUGUCCAUAGUCAUGGUCAUAGAUGGCGAAAUUGAUACUUAUUUUAAAAAACAAAACAAAACAAAACGAAACGAAACUAAACUAACAGAUGUUGAAAUGCAGUUCCGUGUUAACAGUCUGUGAUGAAUCUUUAUCUUUGAGUAUACCAUUCAAGAAAUUAUCAUUCAAAAAUUUAUUUAAAGCAGCAGCAAAUCACCUUCUAAUUCCUGAAUCAAAUUAAUUCGAUUUUUUUCGAGUCGAUCAAUUCAUUAGAGAAUUAACGGGCUAAGUUAAAGUUUUGUUAGUUAUUUUUUUUUAUAUUCCUUUAGAUGAUAUGAUUGUCAUUGUCUUUCUUUCUCUGGGCAACAAUAAAUACAAGAUGUGCAAAAGCGUAGUGGAACAUAAUUCGAUUAUGGGUAAAGGGAUCAGUCCGCAUAAUGAGGAUAAAGUUUUUCUCUUUAAAAAAAUUUAACCCAAAGAAAAGGUCGUAGUUUGUAAUAGCCGACACGCAGAUAGAUCACAAAGCAUGGCGGUCCUGAUGGCAAUAACUAACUGAUAUCUUCUGCGAUGAGAGGAGAUCACGUGGUUCUGACACGUAUCGCCCCAUCAACUGAUGUUGUGGCUGCAAUCGCGGCCCAGUCUUUAGAGAGAAGAAAGAUCUGUUAUAACGGGACCUACUUUAGCAUCUAUUUACGACAAAGCCCCUAUUUACUCUACUUAGUAGUAAUAAUAGCAAGUGUCGGGCUUGGAUUCCGUGUUGCUUUAAAUAAAUAUCCGCGUAAAAAGAAAAUGCUUCUUUAAUCCCUUCCUUGUAAUUUUUCGACACGUGGAUGGUUGAAAUUAGCGUGCCGACAUCUUAGGAAUUUUAUCUUGGAGACGGGAACACUGCAGUAGGCAAUGCCAUUUUCUUCGGAUGGUGUGUGGUGACAACGCCUUGGAUUUUGACGUGCAAAGAAUUUAAAUUGAAAAAGAAAAAAAGAAAUUACCAGAAUAAGCAUAGAAGAGAUAUUUUUCUUUUUGUCCUUUUUGGAAUGGAAAAAGAGAUCAAGAGAUUGUUCCAGUAAGUAUUACACAUGUCACAGGCUUAUUCAUGCCCCAUUAUGGCAACUUUUAUGCCUCGCGGUGCCCUCGGUUCCAGCAUAAUAGCUAAGACUUCAAUUUUUCUAACAUAUUUUUGUUACAAAUAUGAACGGAGUAAAUGUAUAACUUUAAUCCUUUGAAUAAAGAAAUGGCGGUUCUCCUGCUCGUUAAUCUCACUUGAAUCCCACCCAGGCAAAAUUUCUUUAUUUUAUUUAACAACAAUUUAAAGAAAGAAACUUUUGCCAGGUUGAAUUUCAAGUGAGAUUCAUUCGUGGGAGAAGUGCCAUUUCUUUAUUCAAAAGAUUAUGGUAAUUACAACUUUCAAUUUCGACAUAAAUUAAAAUUAUAGGCUAUACAAUAAAAUUGCCCUAAAUUAGUCCUAAUCAAUUCAGAUUAUAAAUUUAGGUAUAUUUAUUAUUUUAAUAUAUUAAUGUUCUAUAUAUAUAUAUAUAUAUAUAUAUAUAUGUGUGUGUGUGUGUGUAUNNNNNNNNNNNNNNNNNNNNNNNNNNNNNNNNNNNNNNNNNNNNNNNNNNNNNNNNNNNNNNNNNNNNNNNNNNNNNNNNNNNNNNNNNNNNNNNNNNNNNNNNNNNNACAGCAGAAAAUAUUUGCUAUGGAUAAGGAGACAUGGUCCCACGUCCCACCGUCCCAAUGCAUAUUUUGUAUGUUUCCAUCUUUUCUGAAAUUUUAAUAAAUAAAGUUUUUUGACCACUUGGCCAAAGAACCUUACCCUUACACAACUUUGUGGUUGGAGUCCUGUGAUACAUGUAAGAACUUAUUUUUUUUCUUAAUUAUAAUAUUUUAGAAUAUAAUUAAGUGAAGUAGGUUUUUUUUUUAAAUAUGAGUAAAAUAGAUAUUUUUUAAAUAUUAAAGAGAGUAAAAUUUGAAUAAUAAUAUAUUAAAAUUAAUACAAACUAAUUUUAAUAAUUAUUUAAUUAUAAAUAUCAAUUAUAACAUCAUAUAAUAUCAAUUAUAAUAUCGUACAUCUCAAUUAAUUCAAUAAUAAUAAUAAUAAAUGUUUUUUGGGAUAAGUAAACAGUCGCAUGGCGACAAUAGUGGAUCUGGAUUAGAGUGAAGUGGUCCCAAGAGGCUGAGGCUGUGGCUGUGGAGUUCUAAAAGUCAAAAGCUCCACGCACUUUGUUUCAGUACCAUACACACUGAAAAAAUUUGCAUUUGCAAUGACGAAAACUUUUCACGAAAUCAAAACACCUCUAAACUAUUUUGUUAUCGAUAUUUAAUGGAGGGGUUUCCUACCUUUUUAACACUCGAUUCACGCCUUGACGCAUCUCACAGAAAACCUCAUGAUCCCAUUAAUCUUGCGUAACAUAUCUCAAAGCCAAUGCAAGUGAUCUUGUUGCCUACUUCCCUUUGACGAUUCAAAAUUGUUGAAAAUAAUUCUUUUUUUUUUUAACCUCAAGGAAGUGACAAAAUAUAAAAGAAUAUUUUCUACACAUUAAACAUCUAGAUUUUUUUUUCUUUUCUUUUUAGAGUACUUGCACAAACCGUUUCCAAGAGAGACCUUUUUUUUUUUUUUUUUUUUCCGGGCUUGGUUACUAAUUUGGUGUGAAUACUCUAUGGUGAAAAAGGAAUCACAAAGCUGUAAUCAAUUUUUUUGCAUCAUUUAGUUGUAACUUGAACAUUGGGAGGUUUAUAAAGAAUUAAAUUAAUUAUAAUGCCUCUACUAGGAAAAGUUCAGAGUAGCCCUUCACAACUUUUUAAAGGCUUAAUAAUUUUCGCUUUCUUCCUCUCAUAACAUAACAAAAAAUUAAGAGCUUUACUCGUACACGUCCUAUGGCUAUAUAGUAUUGGGUUCUCUACUUCAAUCGGCUAUCUCAAACCGAAGGUUAUUUGGACACACCAGCAGUCACGUUUGGAAACUCUCAAAUGCUUGGAUUGUAAUUCUUGUGGAUGAGAUCAUCUAAAUCUUGGGCCCAAGCCGGACAAUGGGUGGACAAAGAACCCUAAAAUACAGUAAAGCUUCUAACACCCCACUAAAACUCUUAAGAAAUCCUACCUUUUAUUUUUAUAUCUCUUUCUUUUAGAAAUUAUAGAGAAGACAUAGCAUUUUAAUUAUUUUCCCUGCCAUUGAAAAUAAAUUCUGUAAACAUAUUUUUUCAUAAUAAAAUUAUUGUUAUUAGAUAAUUUAUUUCUUCAUUGUUUCAAAAUUAUUAUAAUUUUAUCAACAAAAUUAGUUAUGUCAUAUAUUAGGAUUAAAAUUAAUUAGGAUCCAUAACUUGUAAAGACAUUUUAGUUUAAUUGAAUUCAUAUUUGUCAUUUUAUGUAAUUUUCAAUAAAAAUACGACUAUGAGUGCAAAAGUGGGAUGACAUAAUAUUAAAAGAGUGUGAAAUAAUCGGUAAUUGAAAUGGAUUGAAAUCAUAAUAGAGUAUGAAAAUCAGAAUAAAUUGUUUACUUUAGUUGUAGAAAUCAAAAUUAAAAUAAACCAUAUUAUCAUUGAUGUAUAUAUGUUUUCUUGUAAUCGAAAUGAAUUCUUAUAAGUUACUAUAAGACCCUUAUGGUGUGUUUACUAAUCAGAAAUCAGAAUGGAGUGGAAUUUGAAUAUAGAAUGGUAGGGGUAUUCGCGGAUCGGAUUUUACGGAUUGGACAUUAAUUCAUAUCCGAUCCAUAAUUUUACGGAUUAUAAAUUCUCAACACAAUCCAAAUCCAAUCUAUAUGUUUGCAGAUCGGAUGCGGAUUUGACUCAAUUCAUAUCCAAUCCACUAUUUGACGGAUUGAUUUUGGAAUUAAAAAUUUUUAAUUUUGUCCAAUCUAUGAGGUAAUUAAAUUUAAAAAUCUAAUAUAAAAAUAAUUUAUUAAAUAAAAAAUUAACGUAAAAAUAAUUUUACUACCAAUUAAAUUCAAAAUUGAACAAGAUUUAAAUAAAUUAAUUAUUUAAAUAAAACUAGAAUAAUUUAUUUAAAAUUUUUAAAUAUAACAUAUCGAAAAAAAAUUCAUUUGUUUAGAUUAAUAUAUGAAAAUUAACUAAAAUUAUGAAUUUAAAUGUUGAAAUUUGAGAGCUUGGAUGUAACAGGAAGAAAUUAAGAAACUUGAAGAACUUGAAAAGAAAGUAACAAAUUAAGCUUAACUACCUCUAAUGGUGAAGUGAAACAGUGAUGGUUUGUGCGUGCAAUGGGGUACAAAUUUGGCAUUAUAUGCCAAAAUAUUUUGUUUGGCUUUAGAAUUUUUAAUGUUUAGGAAGCUAUAUUUGUUUAUUUAAUUACUCAAAUAUUUAAUUAUUUUUUAUUUUAUGUUAUUAUUGAAUAAGAUAUAAUAUUGUGUUAAUUUAGCUAUACUUUAAUUAAUUAAUUAAUUUAUUAGUAAGUAGCAUUGCUACAUUUAUAAGUUUUAUUUUUUAUUAAAUAAAUACUUUUUUUUUUCAGAUUCACGAAUUUUUACGGAUUUACAGAAAUAAAUCCAUAUCUAAUCCAUCGACUGUGGUUUUUUAAAUUUUCAUUCCAAUCCGAUCUACCAAUCCACAAAUUAUAUUUUUACGGAUCGGACGAAUUGAGCGGAUCAAAUUGGGUUCUGAACACCCCUAGAGAAUGAGAAUCAAAAUAAAUUAUUUACUUUAGUUGUGUGAAUCGGAAUUGGAAUAAAUUGUACUGUCAUUGAUGUGUUUACUUUAUCUUGGAAUCAGAAUGAAUAAUUUCAAAUUACUAAACUGACCUUAAUUUUUUAUUGUAAUAAUAAUAGUAGUAGUAGUAGUAAUAGUAGUAAUUUUCUAUUAUUAUUAUUAUUUUCUCUCUCUUUUGUUUUUAUUUUUUUAUUUUUCUCUUCUUCUUCUCUUCCUCUUUUUUUAUUUUUCUCUAAUUCAUCGAUACUUCUUCUUCUUCUUUUUUCUUUCGUUUUUAUUUUUAAUUUUUCCCUUCUUUAUCGUUCCUUCUUCUCCGUCCAUUCUCUAUCUUCAAACUCUUUUUACUUUUUCUCUUAUUCUUCAUUACUUCUUCUCCCUUUUUUUUUUUUUUCUCUUCUUUAUUAAUUCUUCUUCUUCUGCGUCUAUUCUUCAUCUUCAAAUUAUCAAGUGAAAAAUACCCACGGUGCCUUACAAGAAGAAUUGGUUUUGUUUGCUUCAAUUAUUUUUUGUAUUUUGUACUUUUGAUUGUUUCAAAAGAGGAUAAACUUGUAAUAAUGCAAUUUAAGUAGGGAUGUUUUAGACAAUUUUGGGUAUGAGAGUCUAAUUCCCAACCCCCCACUCCCUCGUAGCAGACUCCCAUUCUUCAUUCCUAACUUGGUGUUGGACCUACUAAAAUAAAUCCCAUUCCCCUUCUUAUUUCAAGAAGCAAACACGAUUUUGAUUUCAAUUCCCCAAUCCGAAAGUAAACGCACAAAAAUUGUACCCAUAUGAGAUUGCUUAUCCUCGAGUUUUUAGAUUGAAAAAAAAAAAGGAAAAAAGAAUGGCCCCAUUAGGAAGGGAUUUUAAGUGUUAGAUAAAGCCGGUGUUAACCAUUAGAAGGUCUCCGACCUUCAACUGUAAUAUAUUAAACCCAGAUAAAUUUACAUAUAAAUCACACAAACCAACAUGCCAAUCAAAUAAAUUACAUCAACUAACAACAAUUGACACAUUAAUUUUCAUAAUACAGAGGAUGCAGAAAAUUAAAAUGUUUUAUCUUUUCUCCUUAUUUGUGAAUUGGAAAAUGAAAAUGUUAAACAUACAGAAGAGUGAAACAGGAUGGAUAUAUAUACACACACACACACACACAGCUUUGGAGUUCAAUGUCAUCGUAUUGCUCCAAGAAGAUUGGCGCCAUCAAGCUUUGCACCUUCCAGAUGCUGUUUAAUCAUCACCAUAACACCUUCAGUAGACAUUAAUACAUAAUAGAAACACAAAAUUCACAUGAUCUGAAUGUCUGGUCUAUUUUACUUACCGUAUCUCGAAGAUUUACGUGCCGUAAAUAAGCUCUUUGAAGGUUGGCACCCUUUAAAUUGGCAUUACGUAGCUUUGCACCCUGCCGCAUAAAUGUUCGAAGUUUCAACAAAUUAAAGUCUCCUGAGAAAUACAUGUCACGAAAAAGUAGGGCUGAAACUUGCAUCUAAUGUACAAGAUUCAAUCAGGGGUGCUUGUCCCACAGUGAAAGUGUAUGGGGGAAAGUGCACUUUCACAAACCAAAGGGGCAAGAUGUGAUUAUCACACGAUUACAAAAGGACUGUAGUCAAGAGAGAGAACUGAACAUGCAGCUUGUAUUGAGGCCAUGAAAAUUGAUGAAAAGCAGUAACAAGCAACCAUUUUGAAAACACUUCAUAUGGUCGAAUCAAUAAAUCAAAGCUAAAAUGAUGUUGACGAUCGAUAGCUUUUAGGUGAUAAGAGUCUUGGCACUACAGUUAAAAUUAUUAUCUAGGAGUGCACACAUUAAUAAAAAAAAACACAACCAAUAAGCAUGCACUCUUAAUCAGCAUAUAAAUUAACAAGUUAGUUGCACCUUAUGUUGUUCCACAAACAGAUUGCUCGAACAAUUCACAAUCUUACCUUCAAAUUAGCUCCUUCCAAAUUAGCUCCCUCUAGGUUGGCAUUAGUAAGAUCAGCAGUCUGAAAAGUCAAGAGGACAAACAGAUUGCAAUUUGAUUAAAAUCUCAAAGUAGCAACAUUCUGCAUGAAAGAAGAGCAGCACAAUUGGCAACAUACAUUUUAGAUUAAGAGGAUGGGAUAAAAGCAAAAUUACAAGGACAUGAAGCAAAUGAGCCAUGUUUAGUAUGGCAAUUUUGACCCAAUAAUUGUGGCAGGUCUUGGAGAUAACAUAGGCAUACACAUAAGGCAGAAGCAAAUACUGUCGCAAACUCCUAGCUAACUACAAAUGUUCCAUAUAGAAAAAAACACCUGCAAAAGUAAGGGAAAAAGCAACAGAUAAAGAACUCAAGAUGCUAGACCUGUAAGUGUGCAGAUCGCAGGUCUGCUCCACAGAAGCUGCAGUCUAUCAAGCAAGCAUCUGCAAUGAUUUAAGAUAAAUUUGAAUCCAAAUGACAUUUUACCGCAAGUAGUUCCAGCCAUUUUGGGAACAAACAAGAAAUGCUAUUUUGUAUUCAUUGUAAUUCCUUAAGCUAAAUAACAAUCAUGUGCUAUCUUAACCAAGGUACAGUUGCAAAUUCUGAAAUUGUGAUGCCAUAGGUUGUUCUUAAUCUUUUUGAACUGAAUAUUGAAAAAAUAUUCCUUCAAUCAUAAAUGUUAAAUAAUUAAAAGAACUGUGAGGGGGGNNNNNNNNNNNNNNNNNNNNNNNNNNNNNNNNNNNNNNNNNNNNNNNNNNNNNNNNNNNNNNNNNNNNNNNNNNNNNNNNNNNNNNNNNNNNNNNNNNNNNNNNNNNNNNNNNNGGGGGGGGGGGGGGGGGAAUGAAUAAGCGGAUGCAUACAGAAAAUUAUGGAAAAUCUGUUAUGGAAAUAAUAUGAAAAUGGGUAUGCAUAACUACAUACUGAAUCUUGACUAAUUUCAAUUUAAUUCAGAUAAGAAAUUCCAGUAUGGGAAUUGCCUUGUAAAUUUGCACUCUGAAGAUUUGCACCAGCUAGUAAAGCUCCACGAAGGUUUGCCCCAGCAAAUUCACAUCUUCCCUAGGCAAGAUAAAACCCUUAAAAGGCAAUUUUGAAAAAUACAUAUAAUUGGGAGAAUAUCCAGUAUUGCUUUGACUCUCUUACUCACGCAAAGUUGCAUUGUGAAAAAUGGAACCCUCAGCAUCCACAUCCUGUAUCAAGAACAGACAGAUUCAGUAUGAUUAAUAUAACUGGUUGCUGGAAGACAGGACAAAAUCGCAUCUUGUCACUGUCAACUUGCAUGUUAAGAAUUAAACACGAAAACUGCAUGCUGUCCAAUUAUAAGAAACCUAUAAAAUUCAAAUCAACAUCAAUACUGGCUUAAGGAAGAUAUAAAAAUAAAAAUUAUACCAACCCGAAAUUUCGCAGAUUGAAGAUUUGCACGUGAGAAGAAAACAUUUCUAAGACACGCAUAGCUGAAGUCCACAAGUGAAAGAUCCUGGCCAUUUUAAUAAGAUAGCAUCAGAGGAAACAAUAUCUAAUGAAUAUAUAAUGUUCUUUCUUGCUUAUCUGAGAAUACUAAUGAGAUUAUCAAAAAAACUCUAAGCUACUGCUAAGAAGUCUUGUGUUACAUGAGUAUGAAUUGAGGAGGUAAAGAAGACCCUUCUCCAAUAAGUUACCAUAGAAGCCACAUAAAACCCUAAAGCAGUUACAAACUUACAAUGACCAGAAUAAACCACCCCAACUAUCUAUUGGCAAGUAAAAUCACUUCUCUGGAUUUCUGAAAACUAGCAAAACAAAUGCAUAAAUUGGCAAAUUCGAUGAUUUCCUCUGAAAACCAAAUUAUAGCAGACAUAAAACUUGGAAGUAUUCAUAGAAUAAAAAUCUUUCAAGCACCUCAAUUCAGUAAUUAUUACCAGCUUAGAAAGAUCAAGGCCAGAAAGAUUAAGUCCUCGAAAUCUGACUUUUUCAGACUGUAUACACUUGAUGAUAUCAAUGCGUGUUAGCUCAGUAUCUAACUCAUUAUCUUCCUUUCUCUUAUUUAUGACAGCAUGGAUUCUCUCAAUUAGUCCCUGAAAUGAAACACAUUAGAUGCAAACUAUUAUUUGAAAAAAGAAAUACAUUUUAUCCACUAACACACAUGGAUUUCAACAGCAAUCAUACAAUAAUUGAGGAAGGACGGUCAUAUCAGACUCAUCUGCCAAGAUUCAAUAAGCACAUCAAACUUGUUUACAUGUAAUUUCCACAUUCCACGUGAAUUUAUAAGGUCUGCCUAAGCAAACCAAAGAAGGCUACACUCAGUACUGUGUGUAUACUGCCUUACCUUUGCUGUUCCCCAGAUACCGUCCUGCAAUCCAGAUACUUAGCUGUGAAGUUUCAAGCCAGCGAAACCAUUUUAAAAGUACACAUGGACACAGAUACCAUUAUCUGAAUCAUCUUCGAUAACAAAUUAAAAUGCCCUAGCGUUCAAAAAACUUAGGAUCUCUUUAAGUGAAGUUCCUUUAAAAAAGUAGAAAAAAACUGAACAACAAUGUCAUGCUAAUAAAAGGUAAAAAAAAUAAAAUAAAAUAAAGCAUAAGGACAGAAGUUCACCAGGAGCAUGCCAGUAUAAACCAAAACGACCACAAAUCUCAACCAUAAAAUUUAAAGUAGUAAAGUAAAUAAUCAAGGGCAUGCAGUUGGCACAGGUGCUUCCAAAUAAAAUGAUGAUUCUUUUCAAACAGAAAAAAGAAAUGGAUGUUAAUAAACUAGAAGAAACCAUGUCUUACAAGUAAUUGAUAAUAUUCUGCUUCCCGUAGAAGCUCUAAAAACUCUGACUCUGUUAAUGUGGGGACAGCCCCAUCCCUUAACCAAUUCAGAAUAUGCCGAAAAUGUUUUCCGUCCCUAUCAACAAAGAUAUAGCCCUGCAAUAAUUCAAUAUGCUCAAAGAUAAGAAUCUGAAUAAUAUACCCAAGAGAAGUGCUUUUCCCUGGAAUAAUAAAAAGAAAAUAAGUCAAAACGUUUUUCUUAAUGGAAGAACACAAAGGAACAGCUCUAUGACUAACAUGAAAACCAUAAAUCAGAAUAAGAACCCAAAACUGGUCAUUUGGAGUUUCACCAGAUCAAAAAGAUCACAUGGAAAUAAAAUUGUGAAAAUGGGAUUAUUUAUGCCGAGGUCAUGGCUAAACUGCAAUCAUUACUCCAUUUUUGGUAGAAGGAGAAGAAGAAAGAAGAGUAGGUGAGUCAUCAUUCUUUCAGGUGAGUCAUCAUUCUUUCUCUGUGAUUAAUUGAUAUGAUGGAAGUGUUGUAGAUAUUAAUUUGAUAGUGAUUCCUCCCUUCAAAAGAAUUCAUUCCUUUUUUUAUUAUUUCACAAAGUUUAACUAAGACUGAGUUUUCUCAAUUUGAAGGCAUCGUGCACUCUACCCCUUUCUUUUCCUCACAUUGCUUCUUCCCAAUCCCAAAGGGAAGAAAUCAAGAAACAAUUACAAUUUUUAACUAUUCACCAGCAAAAACAAGGCAAAGAAAGAUGCUGAGUGUAAGCAAAAAUAAGAGAGUUAUACACCUCAGAGUCUUGGCACACAGUAUGGCGACCGCUGAACAUAGCUGCAAGCAUAGAUUCAGGCUCACGACGAGUCAGAGUAUCAAUUGUUGUAUAAAAUUUCUUUCCCCCUGGAUAUUAAUACAUAAAAUAUAAAUUUGUUCACUUAAAAGCAUGAAUUGUGCAAAUUUGUCAAUAAUGUCAUUCUUUCACAAACGUUCACCGAAAUGUAUAACAAUAAGUGCAUCAUAACAUAACUAAACGGCUUAAGAACUGCGCAGAUAUUACAUACAGUAGAGAAACAAGAAAUAGAAAAUGAGAUUUGCCCUUUUUAAACAGAAAGCAAUCAAAGAGUAAACUAAAGAGCUAAUAAUUCACAAAAUUCAGUUGAUUAAACUCAUUUACAAGUAAUUAGCAACAAAAUCCAAGCUAAAUAAAAAUAAUGAAAAUUAGGUUCUUAUAACAUCCGUCAAUUCUAUGAAAGUUUACCACGAUCAGCAACAAAUAGAUAAAUCGCAAUAAAGAAAAACCGACGACAUGUCGGUUGUGUAGUGCAUAAGUAAAGGAAUUUGCAGAUGAUGUAAAGAGAAUGAGGGAUAGUAACUGACCGAUGUUGAGACGAACCAUUGAAGACGAAUCGGAGUCCUUCGCCAUUGUCGAGUGUAAUGACUUGUCGUCUUACUUGCGCUCAUAGGUAUUUAUAUCAUAGCUGACACUGUUCGAAGGACAGCAAGGAUUUGGUGGGCACAAAUGCAUUUUGGAAAUUGGGCUUCGGCCCAAGAAAUCGAAAAUCAGAGGCUUUUUUUUAAAAAAAAUUUAAAAGGAUUAGAAUGUCUAUAAAUUAAUAGGGCUGAGACCAUCUUAAAUCUAUUAAGUAAAAGAGAUAUUAAAUAUUUUAUUAAUUAAUAAUUUAUUAAUUUACAGAAUUAUUUAUAAUUCAAUUAACAUACAUUUAAUAACUAAACAUUCAAUGUACAUAAUUUCUGAUUACAAUUCAAAGCACUAACAAUACUUCAUAAUUUCUUAUUACAAUUCAAGAAUUCAACCUCAUAGCUUUUAGAUGCAAUAAGAAAAAUAAGAAAUAAGAUUCAGUUAUAUUUAAAUUUUAAGAAAAAAACAAUAAAAUCAUAUUUUAUGUAAUUAAAAUAUCAUAGUCAACUACAUUUGUAAUUUCAACAAAUUAUUACUCUAUGAUUUAAAUGAGACCACAAAGUUAUAUAAGAUUUUAUCGAAAUUAUUAAUUUAAUCCAUUAGUCCAUGUCAAGACCUUGAAAAUUUAAUAAUUAUAUAAUAGAGAUUAUUAAUUUAUCGAGUAUUAAUUUAUAGAAGUUCUGAUUGUAUAUUAUUUUAUAUUAAUAAAGAAUAAAGUAGCAUUCUUUUUUAAUUCCGAAGUAAUAAAAUUAUGGCUAAAUUAAGAGAGUAGAUAUAUUUUAUAACUUGGUUUAAUAACAUCACGCGCCUCCCUUGUAGUUUUGCAGCUUUGAAGCUUUAUAAUGAAUCCUAUUAGCUUUGGCUGGAAAGUUAUAUUGUUAAAGAGAGUUUAUAUAUUAAACAAGGUGAUCUAAUAUUUCCAAAACUAAAUUUGGGAUCAAAAAUAGAAAACAUUUGCAUGUUUUUACCUUUUGGAAGAAUUACUUGAUAAGUGCUUCACAGAAAAAUGCUUGCUAUUAUAGAGCACCCUAAAAAAAAUCCUUAAUAAUUGAGGGAUCAUAAUAAAGUUCAAUUCUAAAUCUGUCAGAUAGAUCGAAAGUAACAAACCAUAUAUAUUUAAAUCUAUUUAGUAAUCCAGGGUUACAAGCCAAGCGUGCAAUAGCCAAUUCUGAAAAUCAAAGCUCAGCCUAUGCUCUCUGAGCACAAAUAAGAUCUGAUAUAUACAUAUCGAAUCCUCCAUUAUGUGGAGUGAAAUUUCCAUCGUGUACGGUGUACCUAACAAUGAGAAAGCAUGGCAGCAUAAAUUCAUCUUCCAUGUUAUUCUACUUAUUAGUACUGGUUCCCUCAUAACUUCUCCAAAUCGGGGAGGUCUGCAAUGUGUAAAGCACGUAAUCAGAUAAAAGAAAGAGAGCCAAAAAAAAAAAAAAAGGUAACAGCCAAAAGAUUAAAUUUCUUUGAGAAAUAGAAAAUGGGAGCUUUUGGCAUAGGCACAGAAUAGAAAGUAACAGAGUCAUUUACAGUUGUUCAGAAUAUGCAAGCUGAAAACAACUUUGAAUGCAAUGGACAAUUCCUCCAACAAACAAUCGAAUUGGAUUGUGGAAGAGACAAAAGCUUAAUGAGGUUAUGGUUUUGGCUAGGUGAACUCAAAAUUCUUUUAUAGACCAAGUAGGUAAAAACAAAUCCCAUAUAGAUGGAUGAACCUCAUACCAUGAACAGUUAAUCGCGAACACUUGCAGGCUUAUGCACACGACUAUGAAGAUACUAAGGGUUUCACCGAUGGUAAGUGAAAAAUAUAUGAUGUAUAAUUUAAAUGGAAGCACAUAGUUUCGGAUUGAAUUCAAGGUUAAAGUUCCACAGACAGACAGAAGAGAUGAAGCUUAAAAACUUACAGAGCAUUCCUUCAUCAUCACUGCUUUCAUCAUUUUGGCCAACAUGCUGAAAAAAGAAUAUGAUUCAAGUUAAAUGAUUGAGCAACAAUAAAAAACGUGCAAAAUUAAUGCUCUCUCCACAAAAAUUUCAGUCUAUAUUGGUAAGAAGAAACAGGAAGAAAAAAUUACCUCAGCAUCAUCGUCAUUGGAAGCCAAAUCAGCUGUAAAGACCACAAAAUGUUUGGUUAGAACCAGUGGAAGUCUUACUCUAAAAUUUUUAAUUUUUGAAUUUCGAAAGAUCUCGUAAUGACAAAGAUUUUCAUAUCCAGUGACCAAGUUUUGAAAAUUAGAAUACGGAAUGACAUCAACUAAAUUCACUAAUAUAAGCUAGAGGAAUCCCUAGUAGAUAUAGCGCACAUGCACACAUGAUAUGCAUCCGAAUACACAAUAAUAAAUUAUCUCAAAGUCAAUAAGAAGCCAAAAUUAGAGAUAAACUUUUAGCCACUAUAAGGAAGACUGAUAUUUGCAGUGUGAUUACAAUAAACAAACAGAAACUUCACUACCCAUAAGUAAAACAAAAUAAAUAAAGGAUAAUAACUAACCAAGAAAUGGAAAAGCUCACAUUCUCUGAACACGCACCCCAAAAAGAAAGAAAGAAAUAAAUGUUCUCAUUGGAUCUGAAGCACAAGCAAUCCACUGACAUCCUUCUAUAAUUAGGUAAUUUAAAGGGGUUAAGCUCACAUCUUUUACGGAAGUAAGAAGAGAAUUAACAACCUUCCAGAGGAUUUAGGGAAAUACCACGAGGCAAGAAAAAAGAAAUAUCCUUCUUCAAUCUAGAUAUCCUGAUACUGCUCACCAUCUACAACAGUCUGUGGCUUAAAAAGCAGGUCACUGAUCUCUCCCUCCCUCUGGCACCAUUUUCUCUCAUGUCUCAUUUUUCCCUUCCUGCCAACUCCCACUACAGUAUUGAAACCUAUUCUAUCAACUCUUCCCCCUCCAAUAACAAGACCAAAACCAAUUUUACUCGCCGGUUAGCUAGGUAGUAAAUGGAAAUUUGUGAAUCUGUCAUUCAUCCGUAGAAACAAACCAGAACUGCAUAAAUUCUCUUCUCUCCCAACAGCUUCUUUUCUCCAGAAAUAGGCACAAGUAUUUGACAUGGAAACAGUUUAUCUAACAUGGCCACCUUUAAAGACAAAGACAUACUAAGGACGUGGUUUUAGAUACGGAUACAAGAAACAAUCACAAAAUGUAAAAUCUAUACAUAUGAUAUUAAUUUCCAAUGGAUACAGCAAUUCAUUCUUUGACAUAACUUCAUCAGAUUACUAGGUUUGAUUAGGUUAUACACACAUUUAUUCAUUUAUUGAAUCUACAUGCACUUAGAAUGAGAGGUACCUAUAAAAACAAGUUACCAGAAAACAAUACAGCUAGAAAACAUUAAUCUAAGUAGUUCUAUAGGUUUAACUAACUGCAGGAAAAAACCAUUGAUUUUGUCCGCCAGAUUAUCGAGAUCCUAAUUCUGGUAAAAAGAAAAUGAGAUAAUAGAAAAUCAAAAAUUAAAUAGACACAAAAUGAGAAAUCAAGAUCAUAUGGCAACUAAUAUAUAGCAUGGGCUGCAGCUAACAAGCAAUAUAAGCCAUGAUAUUAUGCCAGAUACAAAUUUUGAGAUCCAAGAGAGAUCAAGAAGCAUGAAUACCACUAAAAUAUCGAAAGAAGUGAGUGCAGAAGGAUAAGAAAUCAGGUUGAUAUUCUUCAUACUUUGGAUCAACACGUAGUGAUGCAAUAAACUUGUAAUUAGCUUCAAAUGUAUAGGCUACCAUGUCAACAUUUCCGAAAACACACAAGAUUGUGCUGGAUUCAUACAUAGUACAUAUAUAAAAAAACAAUCUGCUUCUAAACUUCAUGAGAACAUCGAAUAAUGAACUUACAAUUUGAUCCCUCAUCAUCUUCAUCGCACCAUUUGUUCCAAUCAACCUUAAUGUAAGGUGCUGGUUUCUCUUC